UUUUUUUUUUUUUUUUUUUGGUGGGGUGCUGAGCAGGGCCGAUGUAUUACAAUGGAAUUUAUCAUCUCUUCUACCAGCAUAACCCUUAUGGUGCGGUCUGGGGCAACAUAGUAUGGGGCCAUUCAGUGUCAAUGGACUUGAUUAAUUGGAAAGCAUUAAAGCCCGCAAUAAAGCCCACAAAACCAUAUGACAAACACGGUUGUUGGUCCGGCUCAGCCACGAUCCUUCCAGGCAACAAGCCCGUUAUCCUCUAUACUGGGGUAGUAGAUGAGAACCAGACACAGGUCCAAAACUAUGUACUACCUGCCAACAUAUCCGAUCCAUAUCUUGAAGAGUGGAUCAAGCCCGACGACAACCCGUUAGUCGUUGCUGAACCGGGCGUUAACAGGACAGCUUUCCGCGACCCAACAACCGCGUGGAUGGGACGGGAUGGCCACUGGAGAAUCCUGAUCGGUAGCAGGAGAAAACACACGGGGAUUGCCUAUUUGUACAAAAGCAAGGAUUUUAUCAAGUGGGUUAAAGCUAAACAUCCGUUGCAUUCAAAGGAUAGAACUGGGAAUUGGGAGUGCCCCGAUUUUUUCCCGGUUGCGAGGGAAGGAAAAAAGGGACUGGACAAUUCAAUGAUUGAAGAACAAAACGUUAAAUUUGUGUUAAAAGUUAGCCUUGAUACCACCAGAUACGAUUAUUAUACGGUCGGUAAAUACUUUCCCGAGAUCGACAGGUACAUACCUGAUAAUACUUCCGUGGAUGGCUGGAAAGGAUUAAGAUAUGACUGUGGAAAUUUUUAUGCUUCCAAGAGUUUCUUCGAUGCCAGCAAGAAUAGAAGGAUCCUGUGGGGUUGGUCCAAUGAAUCGGACACCAAAAUGGACGAUGUUGAAAAAGGAUGGGCUGGAAUUCAGGUAUUGUAGGAUCUUAUACUAAUAAUAGCCUAGCCUAUCUUUUCAAUAGUAAAGUCAUGUGUUUGGACAGUUUUUACUAACAUACUACUAAUUAAGUUUGUUUGUUUGUUUGUUUUUUCUUUUGGUGAAUCAUUUGAUAACCUUCAUAUGAUAGCUCGUAUGAUAGACGAUAUGCUUGCUUUACGUCUGUGUGCUAGACACCAGACAGAUGUACUACAUUCAUUCCUUAACACGUGCAUUAAGUUUCGAUAAUUGAUUACACCAGAUUUUAUCUUUUCUGGUUUGGGUAAAUCAUAAAUGGGAGCUGAAGAUGCUAAUUCGUCUGCUUUUGAAUCGUCGUAGACUAUUCCACGUAGAAUAUGGUUGCAUCCUAAUGGAAAGCAACUGUUGGCCUGGCCUAUUGAAGAAGUGGAAAGUCUUAGAGGACACAAGGUUCAGUUGAGGAACGAAAAUAUGAAGAAGGGAGACGUUGUUGAGAUCAAAGGAAUAACAGCUGCACAGGUUAGGUUUGCGUAGGAUAUUCGGGUUUCGUUUACGCUGUCGAUCAUACUAUGGAUUAAUAUAUUAUGGCAUCGUUAACCGAACCCUAAGAGCAAAUUACAGGGCUGAUUGAAUGUGCUUUGCUUUGACAUGCACUUGCAGGCUGACGUUGAAGUAGUGUUCUCGUUUCCAAGUUUGGACAAAGCGGAGCGGUUGCACCCUAGUUUGGACCACCUUGAUGCUCAUGAGCUUUGCAGUCGAAAGGGCUCAAGUGUCCAUGGAGGACUGGGGCCGUUUGGUCUUUUAACGCUAGCUUCAGGAAAGCUAGAUGAAUACACUCCAGUCUUCGUUAGGGUAUUUAAGGCCAAGAACAAACACAAGAUUCUGCUUUGCUCUGAUGCUUCAAGGUUGGCUGAUCAGAUCUCAACCAGCUAGCAGCAUUAAAUCUUUGGUUUCUGUCUUUAAAUGGUCGUGCUAAUCUUGCAUGUAGUAUUAAUAUUUACUAUUACCCUUGGUCUUGGCAGCUCCUCCCUAAAGAAAGGGUUGUACAAGCCCUCAUUUGCAGGCUUCUUAGACGUAGAUUUGGCAAAGAAGAAGCUUUCUCUCAGGAGCCUGGUGAAAACUUUCACAUCUCCCUCCGUUUUUUUUCUUUUUUUUUUUAUUAAAACUAAGAAAAAACUUUUAUUCUGUUUUAAAAGAUAUUCGUAAUGAAUGAGAUGUAUUUCUGUUGGCAGAUUGAUCAUUCUGUGGUGGAGAGCUUUGGCGCCGGAGGCGAAGUGUGCAUUACAUCUAGGGUAUAUCCUGCUUUGGCAGUCUCCGACAAUGCCCAUUUGUAUGCAUUCAAUAAUGGCAGCGAGACAGUUGCUAUUGAGACGUUGGACGCUUGGAGCAUGAAGGGACCUAAAUUGAUGAACUAAUCCAAUACGACAUGCAUGGACCUCAUUUUUCCAACUUCAUAUAUUAUGUACUGCCUAAUGUAUUUGACGUACUUUAGCUAGUCAGCGGUUGAUGUUUGUUUGGAUGGACAUUGAAAUUUAUGACUAUAACGAUCGUCUCACGGUCAAUUGCAUUACAUCUAGGGUUUAUCCUACUUUGGCAGUCUCCGACAAUGUCCAUUUGUAUGCAUUCAAUAAUGACAGCAAGACAGUUGCUAUUGAGACGUUGGACGCUUGGAGCAUAAAGGGACCUCAUUUUUCCAACUUCAGAUAUUAUGUACUGCCUACUAUAUAAAGAGCCUAAUAUGUUUGACGUAGUACUUCAUAUACCAUUUUUUGGAUGGACAUUGAACUAUAUGACCAUAACGAUCAUCCCACGUUCGAUUAAUAUUCGGUCGGUAGCAACAGCUAAUUUUGUUCAAAGUUGCCGGGGAAUUCUGAAUUUUCAGUGUUUGCUUUUACCAAGGUCCUUGAUGGACAUUUUAGCCACGAUUAUUCAUGUACUUAAUUUUCAAAGCGUCCAUAGACAAGUAUGAAAUGAAGAAUGAACGUGAGAAAAUUGUUUGAGCCGAAAACGUUCUAGCAAUGCAGGACGUUGUGCAGAUGACGUGAACUGGUUGGGAUCUCUUUCUCCUCCCAUUUUAUUUUUACUUUUCAAGAAGCAAAGAUGAUUUCUUUCUUUUCUCUUCAUUCGGUUUUCCUGUCGUCAGACCCCACGUUUUAUUUUGGCCGAACUCAAGACACCAACCGCGAUUAUUUCCUGGUCAAAAAUAGAAUAAAACAGGUAGUUAAAAAUGGAAAAAGAGAUCAAAACUAUUGGACGCAUACAAAACGGCCGCAGGUUAAUUUCGCAGUUAUUUCUCAAGCAUUCCCAUCCAUAAGUAAUUUUCUGAUCUAUAUAGACGUUGUUCUUGCGGUCAAUUUUUUUCUGAUCUAUAAAUACUCAAAAGUGCACUAAUUAACCAUUCAAAAUCCUAAAAUCUCUCCCAUCUCUCUCUCGUCUGUUUUCUCUCCCAUCUCCCUUUAAAUACCAAACACACUGCCUAUCGAAUAGCAUCAAUUGUUCUUAUUUGUACAUAUAUAUUGUAUCUUUUUUUUGUAAAGAUAGUAUCAACUGUCAAAGUCCAAUGGAGCUCCAUAACAAGUUUCUUUGGGCUUUGCCAGUAUUCAUGUUAUCCUUUUUAAUUUCUUAUAAUGGUGUUGAAGCCUCCCACAAUGUUUAUCUUCAUUAUCAGUCUCUUUCCGCCAUCAAAGUAGAGCAAGUGCAUAGAACCGGCUACCACUUUCAACCCAAGAAGCAUUGGAUUAACGGUAAUUUUCCUCAUAAUUUUUUGUGGUUUGCUACAAUUUUUAACGUUCUCUCUUGGGCAUCAUUACAAGUUUACACACAAUGCAUGCAACCUCACAAUGUCGAUCAUCUUAUAUAUUCUGCUUUAUUGAUAUUCACACUAUUUCAAAAAAAAAAAAAAAAGAGAGAGAACAAGCAAGAAAGCUGAAAGAGUUGACUCUCACCCUUCAAGUAAUUGUUUUGGCUAACAUUAGAAAAUUCACAUACCAUUUAUGCCAUUGAUAUUAUUGUUAAUUUAAGGAAUUUGAAAAGGUUUUAGUGGAUGAUGGAAUAGGAUAGGCAGCCAGAGUCUCAAUCCAAUCCAACAUUCUUGGUUAUGCUGUGCUGGCGUAGACAUUCUGCUCCCAAAACGGUUUCCUGAUAUGGUCAUUCAUUCCAAUUGCUCAAUCUGAUAUAGGGCAGAAAAAUAUUAGAAAAAGCGAAAAAGAAAGUUGAGCGGAACAUGUCAUCCACGACGCCAUUAUCCACAUGUUUAGGAUAAUCCAAAUCCAGCAUAAAGUACCUAAUCAAGACUGCAUUUACAUAUGUAUGAAUGUUUCGUAAAAUACUACUGAAUAAUACAAUCAUGCACGUUUCUUGCUUUUUUUUUGUUGCUUUUUUUUUUUUUAACACUUAGAGAAUUUCUGGGCGUGCCUAGUCCAAUUGGUUUCUUCUACUAACUACUAAUGGGCUGAACCCUUUGUUUACAUGUCCAUGCGGGACCAUAAAAUGACUGGAGGGCAGAUCCAAAUGGUGAGCACUCUCAAAAACCACGCCUUUUUAAAACCUUUCCUUUUUGAUGGUUUAAAAACUAAUUUUCAUCUCAACGCUGAUGACAGGUCCUAUGUAUUAUAAUGGCGUCUACCAUCUUUUCUACCAAUACAAUCCCAAAGGAGCUGUAUGGGGAAACAUUGUCUGGGCCCAUUCAGUGUCGACUGACUUGAUCAACUGGACUCCAUUGGAACCUGCAAUCUUCCCUUCAAAACCCUUUGACAAGUACGGCUGCUGGUCAGGCUCUGCAACAGUUCUUCCAGGCAACAAGCCGGUCAUCCUUUACACCGGUAUCGUGGAUAAGAACAAUACCCAAGUCCAGAACUACGCCGUGCCAGCCAACCUCUCCGAUCCAUAUCUGCGCAAGUGGGUCAAACCCGAUAACAACCCACUGAUCGUCUCCGAAGCCGGCGUGAACAAAACAGCAUUCCGUGACCCAACCACAGCCUGGUUGGGCCGAGAUGGGGAAUGGAGAAUCUUGAUGGGUGGCAGACGGAAGGAUACAGGAAUUGCAUUUUUGUACAAGAGCAGAGACUUCAUGAAGUGGAAAAAGGCUGCAAAUCCCAUCCAUCAGUCUGCUGGGACUGGCAAUUGGGAAUGCCCGGACUUCUACCCUGUAGCCAAAUCAGGAACAAAUGGGUUGGACACUUCUGUAUUGGGACAAAAUGUAAAGCACGCCUUGAAGGUUAGUCUUGAUGCCACGAGAUUUGAGUACUACACCCUUGGUAAAUAUUACCCCGCAGAAGAUAGGUACGUACCCGACAAUACGUCCCCAGAUAACUGGAAAGGGCUGAGAUAUGAUUAUGGCAACUUUUAUGCGUCCAAAUCAUUCUUCGACCCAAGCAAGAACCGGAGGGUUUUGUGGGGUUGGGCUAAUGAGUCCGACGCCGCCAAGGACGAUAUCAAAAAGGGUUGGGCAGGCAUUCAGGUACAUAUUCUAAAUAUUAGUAUUAGAUUUUACUCCAAGAAUCAUUUAUAUAUUGCUGGACUAUAGGUAUUCUUUUAUACCCCGUCCAGUCGAGUAAUACUCGUAUUGAUAAUCUAAUGUUGUUUCACAUAUUUUUGACUAAUUUGUCUUCAAUUGAUCAGUUGAUUCCACGAACAAUCACGCUCGAUCCAAUUGGGAAACAAUUGCUUCAAUGGCCAGUUAAGGAAUUGGAUACUUUGAGGGGGGCACAUGUCCGUCUGAGCAAUCAGCUGCUGAAGAAGGGCGACCUCGUUGGAGUUACAGGAAUAACUCCUGCACAGGUUUGUCCUCAUUUCCCCCCAAAACAACAAGACAUGGGAAAAAAUUAGGUGAAUAUUGGAAUGCAUGAAAUCUUCUACACUGAUUCAUAAAUCCUGUUGCAGGCCGAUGUGGAAGUGACGUUCUCUUUCCGCAGCUUGGACUUGGCAGAGCCAUUUGAUCCAAAAUGGAAAAAACUUGAUGCUCAAGAUGUUUGCAGCAAAAGAGGUUCGUUUGUUCAGGGCGGUCUCGGACCAUUUGGUCUCGUGACGCUUGCCACUGAAGACCUGCAAGAAUACACUCCUGUAUUUUUCAGAAUUUUCAAAGACGCUGGCAAGCAUGUUGUUCUCAUGUGCUCUGACGCUACGAGGUUGGCUAGAUAUUUUACAAGUCAACUUUCUUUAGUUGGCAAAUAAUUCUACUCUCGCUCUUUUUUGACUUCUCUAAAACUAAUGCUUUAAUUAUACAUUGAUUGAACAACUUUCCACUCCCUUAUCGCGUCUCAGGUCAUCCUUAAAGAAGGAGUUGUACAGACCCUCAUUUGCAGGAUUUGUAGAUGUGGAUCUGACUGAUAAAAAGCUGUCUCUUAGGAGCUUGGUAUGGUUGCAGUUCUUUUUCUACCCUUUUACUAUUUGCCUAGUCAGCAGGCCUCCGCCUGCUGUAUAUUGAUUUCCUUUCCAUGAUGUUAUGAUGAAUCAUUCAUUCGUUUGUGGAUUCCUUGUUGGCGCAGAUUGAUCACUCAGUGGUAGAGAGCUUCGGGGCCGGAGGGAAGACCUGCAUUUCAUCCAGGGUUUAUCCAACUAAAGCCGUCUCCGACAAGGCUCAUUUGUAUGCAUUCAACAACGGGACUGAGGCUAUUACAGUAGAGACUUUAGAUGCCUGGAGCAUGAAGACUGCUAAGGUGAAUUAAGAUGCAUGGGAGAGCUCUACAAUCACCAUUUUGGAAUUUUUGUUUUUGCAUAUGCUUUUGGGCUCUUUGACCAGAGCGAGGGAUAACCUAUAUUAAUUGUUUUUUUUUUAUUUUUUUACCUUGUAUUAUCAGCAAAAAUAAAAAUUUACGAUUCGCGUCCAACUAUGAAGUCUAUGUCUUUGUUCUUUGAUUUUCUAGCUUGUACAACCUUUUACAUCCCGAGGAAAUCUUAUCAAUUGUUGAUCAUCUACUCGCUCAUAACUUGAAGAGUAAUGAAAGUAAAACAAAGCAUGAACGCAAUAAAUUAUUUGAAGGGUUGACGUUAUUUUAAUGUUGAUAAGAAAAUCCAUCAGAGAUUGAAAAAAGUUCCUGGUUGGACAUGCAUUGAAGUGGAUAACAAAAUCCAUCAAUUUACUGUUGAGACCAUUCUCAUCCUCAGUCGAAGGAGAUAUACGACAAGCUAAAAUGUUUGUGCAAUAAAUUAGAGCUGGCUGGCUAUGUUCCCCACACGAAUUAUGUGUUCAUUGAUGUUGACGAGGAAUGUAAGCGAGGAAUCUUAUACACACACAGCGAAAAGUUGGCUAUCACAUUUGGUCUCUUUGCGACUCUUUAGGGAAGCCCUAUUAGAAUUACAAAGAACAUAAGGGUUUGUGGUGAUUGUCACACAUUUACUAAAUAUGUUUCAUUAGUGGCAAAUAGGAUAGUUAUAAUGCGAGAUGCAAAUAGAUUUCAUCAUUUUAAGGAGGUGCUUGUUCUUGUGGAGAUUACUGGUGAUUGCUGUUUCCACGUUGGUGGGAUGACUUCUCCGUCACCCUACAUAGAAUACUUUGUUUGUGACCAUACAUGGAUGCAAAAAUGGCGUCUGUUGUGAAAAUUUGAAAUUUGAGGAUUGUAUACAGACUCUUGUGGGACACUCUAUGUACUAACCCUGUUGAAAUUUGAAAUCUGUAGUUAUACUAACCCUGUUUUCACUUUUAAUAUAUUUCUUAACCUUCUCUUUAUAAGCAUGUAAGCAGUCACACAAUCUUUCUUUACUGUUUGCCGGUUAAUCUUUUUAUAAAACGGGGAUUCAACUUUCAUAAAUUUGUUAAAAACAACAUGGUCCAGCAUAGAAAAAGGAUAUUCAUAUACAAGAACCAUAUGAGUUGCUAAGUCUCGGACCUUGGCAUGACCAUAGAAAAAAUUAGUUAUAGAAGUUAUACCAUCCGAGGGUCCUUCAAUGAAGGAUAAGACUUGUUGCCUUUUUCGAUUUUCUUCCCCAAGAGCUAGCUUCUUUUGUAGACAAUUUUUUAGGUGACGCUUGUGUUGAGAAGUGGUUCCAGAUACACUUUUGGCAAACAGUUCUUUGCAGUGAUUGCACUGCAUUUUCAUUGUUCCAUCGGUCUGCUUUACUAUUUUUAUAUCCUUUAAUAUUGUUGACUUCUUUUUCCUUUGUUUUUUUUCAAAUGAUUUUGCUCCUUCAUUCGACUGCUCUAACAUAUCUAGGGAUGGCAACGGGGUGGGGAUGGGGUUGGGGCGGGGGAUUUUAUAUAAUUUUAUUAUGAUUGAAUUUUAGCAAAUAAUCAAGUACUAAAAUAUCAACACAUCAUCAAAUUAUUAUUCAUUGUAAUUUUACAAUUGAAACUUAUAAAAUCAAUCAAAUAAAAAUUAUUUGAAUACAAUCCAACAUGAUGAAAUAAAUAUAACUAAAGUAGUCAAGUUUUCACUUUUGGCACAAAUACAAUCACUAAUUCAUUAUUGUGCUUGUGCUUUUUUUAAGAAAAAAAUGUUAUUGUAUUAAGUGUAAUUAGGGAUUUAGUAUAAAUGUAUUAGUAAAUUUAGUAUAACCAAUUAAUAAUUUGUAUUAGUACACAUAUAUAAUUAUUAGUAUAAUUAAUAAUAUCAAUUAUAUUAUAUAUACUAAUAGACAUUAUAUAAUACAUAUAACUAAUAAUAUCAUUAUCAUAAGUUUGUAACUAAUUAAAUUAUAUAUUAUAUAUAAUUAUAUACAUGUAUAUUUUAUAUAUUUAUUUUUUUAAAGCGGGUGGCGGGGCAGGGUUACACUCCCCCGCCCCGUUUCUAAGUGGGGGGAAAAAAAUUCCCCCCGUCCCAACCCCCUUUCCAUUAGCCCCCCACGGGCACCCGCCCCCAUUGCCAUCCCUAAACAUAUCUAAAUCCAACUUUUCUUCGCUCAACUCAUCAGCAUUUUCCUCCACCUCAAGUUCUUGAUCGGCAACUUCAUUUUCAACCUCCAUAAUAGGACUUAAUGAUGAUUUUUUGAGUGAAUGAAAUAGAGGGCUAUACAUCCAUGUUUUUUGAAAGGGAAAAAACCAAUCAAUUUUACUGUUAGCAUGAUUCAAAAAAGAAAGAAAAAGAAAGCAGAUAAAAACAGGUGUAUAAUUGCACUCAAAUAUGUCAAACAACCUUUCACAAAUAUUGUUAAUAGUGUCAGUAGUUGAGUAUACACUAUAUGAAUUUAAAAUUUAAUUAAUAACUUUGUUUAUGUCUUUCUAUAUCAAUAUUUAAAAACUUAAUUAACAGGUCAUAGCCUUAAAACUUAGAUAAGUUCAUGUGCUCCAAAAUUUGAAAUUCAAAGAAGAAGACAUCAACAAAGACUUCAAUAUCCGUGAAGUCUAACAACAUCCAUGAAGUCUAACAAAAAGAACAUAAAGAAGAACACAACAACAAAAUAUGGUAUAUUGCUAUUGCUACUUAGACACUAAAAAAAAUAUAUCAAGGGUACUACAAAAAUCUAAACUGGUUGACUAAAGCAAAACAUUACCAUAUCAGAAAUUUACUAGUCCAGUAAAGAAAACAUUACAUUAUUAUAUUGGCAAUUACCUUAUUAUUUUUAUAAUAAUUCCAAGUUUGUGUUUUUUUAUUGGCAUUGAAUUUGAUCACUACUAUUAUUCUUGCUUCCUAUGGCUACAUAUAAAAAUCGGGGAUGUUGAGUUUGGCAGAUCUCUCUGUGCCCCAUGUGUUGAGUUUAGGUGGUUGGUGUCAUUUUUGUCUCUCUAGGCGCUAUGUUAAGCAGCUUUCUGCUGCUAAAAGAUUUUCCUCUUUUUUUUCCCCUUUCUUUCCAAGGAAAAAAGUCCCGCACACUACUCUGCGUACACUGCUUAUUUCUGUGGGCUUUGCAGGAUUGCCUUGAGGCAAUCUCUAACGGCUUGUUUAACAAUUAUUCGAGGAAAGCACCAAAGACCCGGGUCAUAUUUUUGGAUUUUCUACAAGGGAUUUUGUUUUUUGAUCCCAAUUUCGACACGUAAAGAGCCUCCUCAUUUGGCGAUGUGUAGGGAGGGGAAAUCACAUAGAAAAGAGAAGAAAGAAGGGGAGCGUUUUUGUUUUUCGAUUUUUGUGGGAGGUGUUGUUAUAGAACAAAAAAAAAAAAAUGUUAAGCAAGAACCAUCCAACCUGAUUCAUUGAAUUUUCGAAAUUCAUCAAGAAUUAAAGCACCUCGCCAACAAAGUAAUAAUAGGUAUUUUUCCUUACCAAAAUUGACGAUGGUUCGGCGAAAUUAGUCAAAUUGGAUUGGUCAGCGGUUACUUGAAUGCUUGCGGUGAUUUUUGCUGGAGGUGACUGGAGCUGGAGGUAACCAAAUAGACUGAGCUAAAGAUGCAGCCGUGACUGGUAAUAGCAGUGAAAAAAUGAAGGCCUUUUUGGUGCAAAAUUUCUAAUAGAUAAGUGGGGUGUGACGGAGAGGUAGAGAGGAGGAGAUGGUGGACUGUGGGGUUGAAGCCGCGAAAUAAACCUCCACUUGGUUGUGACGGAGAGGCAUAGAGGCGAAGCCGCGAAAUCGAAGAAGAAGAGGAAAAAUUAUACAGAGCUGGAGAAGCGAGAAGUGAGAACCCUAAUUAGAUUUGUUAUAUUUUGAUUUAUAAAAUGGCAAAUAUGCCUUUUAUUAACAAGUUUUAACGAGCUACCCAGCUACCAAACGAGUCGAGUAAUUAAACGAGCACAUUUCUAACUCGAGCUCGGCUCGUUUACCACAACUAACGAGUCGAGGUCUAACGAGUUUUUGAGCUACUAGUUAUGUUUAACAGCUCUAUUAAUGCUGUUUCCACCUUGGUGAGGUGAGUUUUCUCCCAUCUGUGUAUCUUACCCUCAUCCAUAGUGCUACAACUAAACAAAUCCAUUAUUAGAAUGCCAUUCUUUGUGAUUAUAUUGCAUGAGAAAUGGUAAUUGGAACAGAAAAUUUGGACAGCUUGUACAGAUCUGAUGGCCUAUUGGAAUUGGCAGUCCAUGUACAGCUUCUGCCACUGCCGAUAAUGCGCAGUUUUGCUACCAUGGAUGCUAGCUUGUUUGACUUUCUCUAUCUUGUGGUCCUUAACUGGCAGGCCUGCUAAUUGAUUUUGAACUGUUGAGCCCAUAUGCGUCUCAACUUCAGUUUGGAUCAGUUUGGCUCCAUACUUUCUUAAUUGUCUUCCAAAAAGCACAAGUUAAAAGCACCAUGUGCUGAUAUCAUCAUCCGACUCCGCUCUACAUGUUUCUUCCACCAACAGAACACACAGUCAGCAUAUCUCUUCAUACCUGCUCUGGACUAUCUUGGCUUAAGCUAUACUAUCUUCCAGGUACACAAGGUUAAUUUUUACUGCUAAAAAAUAUUUGCAAGAGUCUAGUAUCAAAAGCCUGGUUAAGCCUUGCUCAUGUACACUAAUUUCUUAUCAUAGUUGACCUAAUAUUCGCUAUCCUUAAUAGGUCAGUGUCUUUGGAAUCUACAAGGAAUUACUACUCCUGAUUGAAGUGAUAUGUACAGAAGCUUUGGCAUGUUAUUACUCCCCCAAAUAAGCAAAGUUGUAAAAGUCCAUACUCUUUUAAUUGCUGAAUGGACUCAGUGCCUGUAUAUGUGUGCACCGGUAACUCUAAGCAUUAGCUAUGCUGCAUUUGCAAAUGCGGUACACAAUUCACUGGUCUAGUCUUGAUUCUUGAACUAAGAAACAUUUCAACAUUGAACUGAUGAUAUUAAUUAAAUAUAAUAGUAAUUGGCUAUGCUGCACCUUGACUUAGUGGGCUGCAUAAUGCAGCCUAACUUAACUUUUCCUGUACAGUUGAUGCAGUCGCAUUUUCCCUGAACUUCCCGAUACAUGAAAGACUCUGACGUCAAGAGCCCGCAUUCAUUCUUUGGCACCCCCCAGAGUACCAAUUUGUAUUUCAAACAAAAGGCUUUACAUAUCUUGUAAGUAGUGGAAAUUCACAUGUCCCGUUAUUUUGUCCACCAAUUUGCAAAAGUCGCAAUUUGAAGCAUAAACAAAUCCAAGGUAAAAUGAGAAACUGAUGGUGUAGCUAAUAUUUCAAUCUUUUUUAUUGAAAAAAAAUUAAAAAUCCCUCAGCAGUCAGUAAAGACCUUAACCGAAUUUUAAGUUGCUCGAAAGGUCUGAAGUGGGGAGACGUGGCUCGCGAAGGCAAAUCUAUUACUGGGCUCAGAUAUGUUCUAAAUUUUAUGAGAGGCUACGUGGAAAUGAAAGAAAUAAAAAUCGAGGACCAAUUCCAAUGGAAAUCAAGACCAUUUCUGGAUUCAUGUUUCUUCCUGGUCGAGUCUAGAACUUUUCAAUGAAGGGGGAAAAAAAAGAAAAGAUACUAGUACUAAACCCCAAAAACUCGAAGCAAGUCAGUGGAGGAGGUUACAAUGUCGGUUGUGGAACGCUGAAAUGGGCGCUUAAUGUUGUCGUACUCAUUUGUUGUUUGAUCUUUAUGAAAAUGCACCUACCUCACAUCUUUUUCUAACCUGCCCCAGAGGCCCGAAACGUGCAAGAUCAUUACAAGAAUGCGUGUAUGUAGAUAGAUGCAUAUAGGGCAGGUAGUGGGAAACUGGGAAUGUGCCUGAGACAAAUGUGUUUUGAGGCUCUUUUCGACUGCAGAGGGUAGAGUUUCUUCACUUUAGGGAAAAGCCCGUGGAGGACCAUUAUAGUGAUUUCGGUAUUUGUCCAAUCUUUAUCUCCAGACUUGAGAGGUCUCCAAAUGGCUAUGGUGGGUAUCGUUUUUCGGCCUCCAAAUGGCUUGGCUUACCCUUCCAAGAAUGCAUCAUAUAUGUGAAGAUAAAGACCGAAAGAUCCUUUUGUGAUUCGUAGCUGUGGGGGUAUACGCAUUUUAGUGAAGAAACCUGCAGAAAAAAAGAAUUGCAGAUUUCGGACGAAUUCUUCAGAAGGAAAAUGCCAUUUUAGUGAUAAAGGCAUGCAACUUUUGUCAUUUCAACUUCAGUGAAGGGAUCCCUUUCUUCCAUUCAAGAAGAUUAAUUUACAAGCCUUUUGACCUUUUCUGCUCUUCUGCAUAAUUGUGGCAUUCAGCCUUCUAACUUUAGCUCUAGUUUAGCAUAGUCUUUAAAUUUUAAAAAUCAACUAUUUAUUCUGCUUGAUAAUUCAUUUUUCAAUAACAAAGUUUUGACAUAAGAAAUGGUAAAAUUCAUUUAUAGCUUCAAUUAAUUCUUAACCUUCUCUUAGCUUUCGCGACAAGAAUUGAGUUGAAUAGUAAAACGGAAAGGGUUGUAAAAAGAAAUCUCAAAUUCGAGUCAUCUCACUUAUAAAAAAAAAAAAAAAAAAACUUCCCAUAGCUUUAGUCAGAGGACAUUGCAACAUGCUACAUAAAGAGGAGAUGAUACAGUAGUAUUUUUUAGGUGUCAUACUCUCAAGUUAGAUUAUUAUUGGAUUAUGAAAUAAAUGUUUUUUAUUCUUAAAUUUUAAUCAUUUCAAAAAUUUAAAAUAUAAGCCACCAUUACCAUUAAGAGAUACAUAUUAAAGGAAUAAUACCGAAUUUUCCCAUACAAGGAUUUGAACGUUGACCAAUAACCUUCAAUACUGUGUAAGGCAAAUUUACAAAUAAGAUAUUCCCAGUUUAGAUUGUUAUUUUUAAAAGUUUUUUGUAGAAAAAUAUAUUGUAACGAUUUAAUAUAUGUGAAGUAAAAAGGAGAUUGCAAAAUAUAUUCAUAGAAAAUGUAAAAUAUUUUUUGCGAAAAAUUGCAAUCCAACCGGUACUCUAAAAGGUGAAAAUGUUGGGCUAGGCAUUUUCGUUACUCAAGGGUAGCAAAAGUCCUGAAGCACAUGACAUAAGUCCUACAAAUUAUAUUUGUUAUAAUUUAAAAAUUAAUAAAAUGUUACAAAUAUGCAAUAUUGAUUUGAAAAGGUAGAAUACCAACUAACUGUAUAACAUAUAACCAAUAAAAGGAUAGGUAAGCCAAAAAGAAACUCAAAAUUUGUUUUGAAAUUCAGAAAUGUUAGUGUUGGAUUGUGAUUUCAAAGAGUAUGAAACGAUGAUUAUAUUUUUCAACUAUGGAAAAUAACAUAGCGUGCCUACGGGUAAUAAAAACAAAGCACUAAAGAACUCAAUUCCUAUAGAUUUCAAACCUGAAAACUUAUACUUCAAAGUUACAAAUUUCUUCCACUUGCACGAAUAGCUGUUAGUACAAAGUGUUUGCUUUUACCAGGGUCCUUGAUGGACAUUUUAGCCACGAUUAUUCAUGUACUUAAUUUUCAAAGCGUCCAUAGAGAAGUAUGAAAUGAAGAAUGAACGUGAGAAAAUUGCUGGAGCCGAAAAAGUUCUAACAAUGCAGGACGUUGUGCAGAUGACGUGAACUGGUUGGGAUCUCUUUCUCCUCCCAUUUUAUUUUUGCUUUUCAAGAAGCAAAGAUGAUUUCUUUCUUUUCUCUUCAUUCGGUUUUCCUGUCGUCAGACCCCACGUUUUAUUUUGGCCGAACUCAAGACACCAACCGCGAUUAUUUCCUGGUCAAAAAUAGAAUAAAACAGGUAGUUAAAAAUGGAAAAAGAGAUCAAAACUAUUGGACGCUUACAAAACGGCCGCAGGUUAAUUUCGCAGUUAUUUCUCAAUCAUUCCCAUCCAUAAGUAAUUUUCUGAUCUAUAUAGAUGAUGUUCUUGCGGUCAAUUUUUUUCUGAUCUAUAAAUACUCAAAAGUGCACUAAUUAACCAUUCAAAAUCCUAAAAUCUCUCCCAUCUCUCUCUCGUCUGUUUUCUCUCCCAUCUCCCUUUAAAUACCAAACACACUGCCUAUCGAAUAGCAUCAAUUGUUCUUAUUUGUACAUAUAUAUUGUAUCUUUUUUUUGUAAAGAUAGUAUCAACUGUCAAAGUCCAAUGGAGCUCCAUAACAAGUUUCUUUGGGCUUUGCCAGUAUUCAUGUUAUCCUUUUUAAUUUCUUAUAAUGGUGUUGAAGCCUCCCACAAUGUUUAUCUUCAUUAUCAGUCUCUUUCCGCCAUCAAAGUAGAGCAAGUGCAUAGAACCGGCUACCACUUUCAACCCAAGAAGCAUUGGAUUAACGGUAAUUUUCCUCAUAAUUUUUUGUGGUUUGCUACAAUUUUUAACGUUCUCUCUUGGGCAUCAUUACAAGUUUACACACAAUGCAUGCAACCUCACAAUGUCGAUCAUCUUAUAUAUUCUGCUUUAUUGAUAUUCACACUAUUUCAAAAAAAAAAAAAAAAGAGAGAGAACAAGCAAGAAAGCUGAAAGAGUUGACUCUCACCCUUCAAGUAAUUGUUUUGGCUAACAUUAGAAAAUUCACAUACCAUUUAUGCCAUUGAUAUUAUUGUUAAUUUAAGGAAUUUGAAAAGGUUUUAGUGGAUGAUGGAAUAGGAUAGGCAGCCAGAGUCUCAAUCCAAUCCAACAUUCUUGGUUAUGCUGUGCUGGCGUAGACAUUCUGCUCCCAAAACGGUUUCCUGAUAUGGUCAUUCAUUCCAAUUGCUCAAUCUGAUAUAGGGCAGAAAAAUAUUAGAAAAAGCGAAAAAGAAAGUUGAGCGGAACAUGUCAUCCACGACGCCAUUAUCCACAUGUUUAGGAUAAUCCAAAUCCAGCAUAAAGUACCUAAUCAAGACUGCAUUUACAUAUGUAUGAAUGUUUCGUAAAAUACUACUGAAUAAUACAAUCAUGCACGUUUCUUGCUUUUUUUUUGUUGCUUUUUUUUUUUUUAACACUUAGAGAAUUUCUGGGCGUGCCUAGUCCAAUUGGUUUCUUCUACUAACUACUAAUGGGCUGAACCCUUUGUUUACAUGUCCAUGCGGGACCAUAAAAUGACUGGAGGGCAGAUCCAAAUGGUGAGCACUCUCAAAAACCACGCCUUUUUAAAACCUUUCCUUUUUGAUGGUUUAAAAACUAAUUUUCAUCUCAACGCUGAUGACAGGUCCUAUGUAUUAUAAUGGCGUCUACCAUCUUUUCUACCAAUACAAUCCCAAAGGAGCUGUAUGGGGAAACAUUGUCUGGGCCCAUUCAGUGUCGACUGACUUGAUCAACUGGACUCCAUUGGAACCUGCAAUCUUCCCUUCAAAACCCUUUGACAAGUACGGCUGCUGGUCAGGCUCUGCAACAGUUCUUCCAGGCAACAAGCCGGUCAUCCUUUACACCGGUAUCGUGGAUAAGAACAAUACCCAAGUCCAGAACUACGCCGUGCCAGCCAACCUCUCCGAUCCAUAUCUGCGCAAGUGGGUCAAACCCGAUAACAACCCACUGAUCGUCUCCGAAGCCGGCGUGAACAAAACAGCAUUCCGUGACCCAACCACAGCCUGGUUGGGCCGAGAUGGGGAAUGGAGAAUCUUGAUAGGUGGUAGACGGAAGGAUACAGGAAUUGCAUUUUUGUACAAGAGCAGAGACUUCAUGAAGUGGAAAAAGGCUGCAAAUCCCAUCCAUCAGUCUGCUGGGACUGGCAAUUGGGAAUGCCCGGACUUCUACCCUGUAGCCAAAUCAGGAACAAAUGGGUUGGACACUUCUGUAUUGGGACAAAAUGUAAAGCACGUCUUGAAGGUUAGUCUUGAUGCCACAAGAUUUGAGUACUACACCCUUGGUAAAUAUUACCCCGCAGAAGAUAGGUACGUUCCCGACAAUACAUCCCCAGAUAACUGGAAGGGGCUGAGAUAUGAUUAUGGCAACUUUUAUGCUUCCAAAUCAUUCUUUGACCCAAGCAAGAACCGGAGGAUUUUGUGGGGUUGGGCUAAUGAGUCUGACACCGCCAAGGACGAUAUCAAAAAGGGUUGGGCAGGCAUUCAGGUACAUAUUCUAAAUAUUAGUGUUAGAUUUUACUCCAAGAAUCAUUUAUAUAUUGCUGGACUAUAGGUAUUCUUUUAUACCCCGUCCAGUCGAGUAAUACUCGUGUUGAUGAUCUAAUGUUGUUUCAUAUAUUUUUAACUAAUUUGUCUUCAAUUGAUCAGUUGAUUCCACGAACAAUCACGCUCGAUCCAAAUGGGAAACAAUUGCUGCAAUGGCCAGUUAAGGAAUUGGAUACUUUGAGAGGGGCACAUGUCCGUCUGAGCAAUCAGCUGCUGAAGAAGGGCGACCGCGUUGAAGUUACAGGAAUAACUCCUGCACAGGCCGAUGUGGAAGUGACGUUCUCUUUCCGCAGCUUGGACUUGGCAGAGCCAUUUGAUCCAAAAUGGAGAAAACUUGAUGCUCAAGAUGUUUGCAGCAAAAGAGGUUCGUUUGUUCGGGGCGGUCUCGGACCAUUUGGUCUCGCGACGCUUGCCACUGAAGACCUGCAAGAAUACACUCCUGUAAUUUUCAGAAUUUUCAAAGACGCUGGCAAGCAUGUUGUUCUCAUGUGCUCUGACGCUACGAGGUUGGCUAGAUAUUUUACAAGUCAACUUUCUUUAGUUGGCAAAUAAUUCUACUCUCUCUCUUUUUUGACUUCUCUAAAACUAAUGCUUUAAUUAUACAUUGAUUGAACAACUUUCCACUCCCUUAUCGCGUCUCAGGUCAUCCUUAAAGAAGGAGUUGUACAGACCCUCAUUUGCAGGAUUUGUAGAUGUGGAUUUGACUGAUAAAAAGCUGUCUCUUAGGAGCUUGGUAUGGUUGCAGUUCUUUUUCUACCCUUUUACUAUUUGCCUAGUCAGCAGGCCUCCGCCUCCUGUAUAUUGAUUUCCUUUCCAUGAUGUUAUGAUGAAUCAUUCAUUCGUUUGUGGAUUCCUUGUUGGCGCAGAUUGAUCACUCAGUGGUAGAGAGCUUCGGGGCCGGAGGGAAGACCUGCAUUUCAUCCAGGGUUUAUCCAACUAAAGCCGUCUUCGACAAGGCUCAUUUGUAUGCAUUCAACAACGGGACUGAGGCUAUUACAGUACAGACUUUAGAUGCCUGGAGCAUGAAGAGUGCUAAGGUGAAUUAAGAUGCAUGGGAGAGCUCUACAAUCACCGUUUUGGAAUUUUUGUUUUUGCAUAUUCUUUUUGGCUCUUUGACCAGAGCGAGGGAUAACCUAUAUUAAUUGUUUUUAUUUUUAUUUUUUUACCUUGUAUUAUCAGCAAAAAUAAAAAUUUACGAUUCGGGUCCAACAAUGAAGUCUAUAUCUUCGUUCUUUGAUUUUCUAGCUUGUACAACCUUUUACAUCCCGGGAAAAUCUUAUCAAUUGCUGAUCAUCUACUCGCUCAUAACUGGAAGAAUAAUUAAAGUAAAACAAAGCAUGAACGCAAUAAAUUCUUUGAAGGGUUGAUGUUCGUUUGAUUCAAGGGAAUUUUUAAAACUUCUAAAGGAAAGGGUGCUUGACCGUCGGAUCAGAAGUUCUGAAUUACGAACCAGCACAUCAUUUUUGCUAAUGGAUAAACAAGCGCUUCAUUUUAUUUUUUUUUAGGAGUAGCAAAAAUAUCUAUGUGGAAAACCUGCUUACUCCAUUGAUUUGACAAAAUCUAGUUGCAUUUUUUCUUCUCAACAAAAGCAAGUAGGUCGGUGAAACAUUCCGGCCCGGCACUGGUUGGCUUCGCUACCUGCAUUCCAUCUGUACCCGACUCGGCAUAUCUAACUUCUGACCUCGUAAACAGCACAUGCCAUUUUCCAAAUCCAGCAGCAAAUGUAUAGCCAAAUCUUUGGGAUUUUGACUCCUAUUUUUUUGCUAUAGUUUUUGACUUUUGACUUUUGAAGUCCAAGAUGCAAAUUUUCUCUGGUUGGCGGCUACCUUCUCGAUUGCUCGCUAUGAAUUAUCCAAAACAUCUUUUAUUCCAGGAAUAAUAAGUAGUUAAGUACUUUUCCCACUUAUUAUGAAAAAAUAUACUUCCAUCGGUGCAGCAAAUGUAGAUACUACUUUGUUUCUAGUUCCAAUGUUCCAUGUAAUAUUAUUAUAGAUAUUAUUAUUAUCUGGCAAGAUUCUCAUAAGCUAAAUUAAUCCUUCCUCGGGAUUAGAGAGAUGGAGGUUUUUAUUAGUACAUUAAUCAUUCAAAUUAAAGUAUUUUAAAGGAGGAAAAAAACAACACAGUAGAGGAAAGUGAAAUUGCUCAAAGAAUAAAAUACAAGAAAAAAAAAACAGUGAAGAUACAACAAAUGUUUUUAUAGGUUAUAGCUGAUUGCAAUUUCCAAAAGUUAAAGAAAAAGUCGUUGAAACAAGGAAAGAUAAAAUUACUACCAAAAAGAUUUUGAACAAAUCAGUUAGCACGUUUCCGGAACAAACACGGUCUAAUUUUCAAAGUUAUCCAAUAACCAAUCCUAUCCCUAAUAAACUUCUGUUAAUUCUAUAAAUACAGAGGAUUUUAACCAUUGACUACUCCAACAUUUCUCUCUCUCCCUCUCUCUCUCUCUUUUUUUUUUUUGCAAAAAAAAAAAAUCACGUACGUCUCACGUCCUUCUUUCCUUGCGCUUGCUAAAUUGCAAUAGCCGGCCAAUUUCUGCGACCGCCGAAAAACAUAUAGUUGUUGCGGAUUUGUGUUGAUUCUUAGACAAGUUCCAGCGCUGUUCUGCAAGUAAGGCCAAUGGGGCAGUUUUGCAGUGAAAAGAUUUUAUGGGUUUUGGCACUAGUUUUCACUUGCGUUUUGGUUUCCAUUAAUGGCGUCGAAGCCUCGCACAAGGUUUAUCCUGAUUACCAGUCUCUUACGGCUUCAAACGUUGGGCGUCUGCACAGAACCGCUUACCACUUUCAACCCAAGCGGCAUUGGAUUAACGGUACGUUUUGCACUCUCCUUCCUUCCAUACCUUUGUUCUCAACUGAUAGAUUUAAUUUGAGAUUUUUUUUUUGGGUCCAAAAAUGUCGAAAAUUUUUGGAUUUUGGUUCUGAGUGAUCACUAACUGCCCGCGUUUUAUAGUCUUUCUAUUCUCUUUCCAUUCUCAACUUAUUUCUAGAUUCAUCGUCUAUGUAUCUCUUGUUUUCUGCGUCCACCAUUUAAUCUUCGUGAAAAAAAAUAAUUAAUUAGAUUAAGAAAUCAUUUAAUCAGAAAAAAAAUUCAUUUAUAUUUCAUUGAUAUAGCAUAUACAAGGCUAAUAUAUCGUCAUCUUUUUGUCAAAAUCUAUUCUUCAAACUCUUUUCAAGAACACCUAUUCAUUUAUUUAAAAUGCCUUUUUUAAAGAAAUCAAUUUUACAGAGUCAGCUUUUACAAAAUGGUUAAUUUUUUUUUUUUUUUGAGUAUUCGUUUAAAAAAAAUGUACAAUGUUUUACAUGUUUCCUCCAGAUUGAUGUAGAAAAUCUGGGAAGCUGGUACACUAGUUAUGCUCAUCAGAUAGGUUUAGUACUUCAAAAUAGACUACAUAUAAGCACAAAAGAUGACAGAUUUUUUAAUUGAAAGAUAAUCUGAGUUGUAAGUUAAUGAUGCUCUCAAAGAUAGAGAACACGGCAUGAGUUUCGGCAGUGGUGUGGAAAAUUCGAUAUGAUGCUUCAGAGGAAGACGUCUGGUUUAUGAAUUAUGACCUUCUGCCGGCGGCGAUCUCAAUUUAUAAAAGCAAUUGAAUGCUCCCUUCCCUUAUGGAUUUAUUUCCAUUCUGUGCAUGCAUGCAUCAGAAAGAUGGCGUAACAUUUAUUUAUUUAUUUAUUUUACAGUUCCCCUUAUUUUGUACAUGCAACUGCAAACGUAUAAACUCUUGUACUCUACUAUGUAUAUUUUAUUUACUUCAAAAAAAAAAAUACUAGUAACUCUUCCCUUACUUUAAACAAAAUUUGUUUUCUUCCUAUAAAAACAAUAAUAUCUUUUCUUUUUCUCCGUAUUCUUCUGAGACGUUGUUGAAUCAUGAAUGUUACGCCUGUUACAGGUUCAAAGUUUUAUCCAUUUCGGAAUAUGAGUAGAAGUAUAUUAUUAUUUCAUAAUCCACUCCAAGAUUCUUGGCGCUUCUGACGGCUUCCACGUAGAAAAUAUUACCCGGCCCGAAUGAUGAAAAUAUGCUGCAAUGGAAUGAGCUUAAAUCGCUUGAGGAUAGCAAUUCCUAAUAUGGACCCAAUUAUUAAUAUUGAAAAUGCUAAAUUAAUUCCAUGAUCACCUUACGACAAAACUACGUUACCUGUGUUGGUGUUCUUUUUUGGUUGCUCGGAACUAUUUUGUGAGUUUUCUUGCUUCUUUUUUUUUUUUGCUAAUAAUUAUCUCACCUUUUUUGCUUUGCCUUGCAUGUUGCCGUGGGACUCUAAAACAAAUCUUGCUGGACAGAUCCGAAUGGUGGGCAAUGACGCUUUUAAGCUUCUUAACAGUUGAUGUAUUCUCAUAUGAAAUUAGUUAUUGCCUUCCUUAAUUUAUUUAUUUACAGCGUCUAACUAAUUAGUAAUUACAGGACCAAUGUAUUACAACGGUGUUUAUCAUCUAUUCUACCAGUACAAUCCAAAAGGUGCUGUGUGGGGCAACAUUGUUUGGGCCCAUUCAGUAUCUACUGACCUGAUCAACUGGACCCCGUUAGACCCCACCAUCUUCCCAUCGAAACCCUUUGACAAGUACGGCUGCUGGUCCGGGUCCGCAACUGUCCUUCCGGGGAAUAGGCCCGUAAUCCUCUACACUGGCAUAGUAGACCAGAACAAUACCCAAGUCCAGAACUACGCCGUGCCAGCCAACCUCUCUGAUCCGUACCUUCGAGAGUGGGUCAAGCCCGACAACAACCCCUUAAUCGUUCCCCAAGCCGGAGAAAACAAAACGGCUUUCCGUGACCCAACAACCGCUUGGUUGGGCCGGGAUGGCCGCUGGAGAAUCCUGCUGGGCGGUAAGAGGAAGCAUCGGGGAGUGGCAUUUCUGUAUAGGAGCAGAGACUUCUUGAGAUGGACCAAGGCAAAGCAUCCAUUGCACACCGCUGCGGGAACUGGAAAUUGGGAAUGUCCUGAUUUCUACCCUGUCCCAAAGCAAGGAUCAAAUGGGUUGGACACGUCCGUGCUGGGCCCAAAUGUUAAGCACGUCUUAAAGGUUAGCCUUGACGUUACUAGGUAUGAGUACUACACCCUCGGAAGUUAUGACACCGAUAAAGACAGGUACAUUCCGGAUGAUACAUCGCGGGAUGGUUGGAACGGUUUGAGAUAUGAUUAUGGCAACUUUUAUGCUUCUAAAUCGUUCUUCGAUCAUAGCAAGAAUCGGAGGAUUUUGUGGGGUUGGGCCAAUGAGUCGGACACUGCUUAUGAUGAUAUGACGAAGGGAUGGGCCGGCAUUCAGGUACUACCCAAAUUUCUAAGACUCCUCUUUUUUUUUUUUUUCAAGCAGUUUCUAAGACUCCUAAUUCUGUGGUUGUCGAACGAUUCCGCUGGGCAUUUUUUCAGUUGAUCCCGCGAGUAAUUACGCUGGACCCCAAUGGCAAACAACUGUUGCAGUGGCCAAUUCCAGAAUUGGAAAGUUUGAGGGGGGAAAAUGUCCAUUUAAGCGGUCAGGUGCUUAAAAAAGGCGACGUUGUUGAAGUGACGGGAAUAACUGCAGCCCAGGUUCGUGCCCGGGGUAAAUAUACUCUUAAUACUGCUGCAUUUGAUUUGAGCGUAAAUAAUGCAUGGCAGAAAGAGGGAAGUAUUUAGUAUUUAGUGAGCGGACCAUUCAUAUUGCAGGCCGACGUGGAAGUGACAUUCUCCUUCGCCGCCUCUAGCUUGGACCUGGCAGAACAGUUUGACCCGGCGUGGAAAACGCUUGAUGCUCAGGACGUCUGCGGCCGGAGAGGCUCAACCGUUGAAGGUGGGCUUGGUCCAUUUGGUCUCCUGACGCUCGCCUCCGAAAACCUGGAAGAGUACACUCCCGUGUUCUUCAGAGUUUUUAAAGCCGGAUACCAGCAUGUGGUUCUCAUGUGCUCUGAUGCUCGAAGGUUUGUUUCCUUUUAGUUACAACACCAUCAAAUCUAUUAGUAAUAAUAUUAUUAUUCGCUUCAGUUGUUGUGCUUUUCUCGUCAACAUUCAUUUGUUUAACCUCAUUCCGUCUCGUCCUCUGCGUUUCAGUUCUUCUUUAAUGGAUGGGCUGUACACGCCUUCAUUUGCGGGAUUUGUAGAUGUAGAUUUGACCGAUAAGAAGCUUUCCCUCAGGAGUUUGGUACGGCUGAUUGAUCGAUCAUUUUUGCUAAGACUGGCAGGUAUUCUGUAGUUAAAUCAUUUUUGCUUAUUCCUUUUUUUUUUUUUUUCUGGCAGAUUGAUCAUUCAGUUGUAGAGAGUUUUGGGGCCAGAGGGAAGACGUGCAUUUCAUCCAGGGUUUAUCCAACCUUAGCCGUUUCCGACAAGGCUCACUUAUACGUAUUCAAUAAUGGCACUGAGGCUGUUAAAAUUGAGACUUUAGAUGCUUGGAGCAUGAAUAGGCCUAGGAUGAACUAAAUUUAAGUACCAACAUGUUUAUCUUUUUUUGCAUUGGAACACGACAAGGAUACCUUACCUUGUUCGCGUGGUUUGGUUUGAAUUAUAUAUUCUCGGUGACGUUUCUUAUUUGCAAAAGAGGAGUAUGAGUUGUUGUAUUAGUGGAAAAUAGUGGCAGUACUAGUCAGAAGAAAAAUGGCUAUUAUCAAAGAAGAACACUAAUUAAUGGGCGAAUUGAUAAAGAAGCCUUUGACAAAGUGAAAACUAUGCCAGUGGAAGGCACUUGGGAUCCUCAGUGACAUAUUUUCUAUGCUGAGAAGACAGUAUCAUAUUUUCUGUGCUGAUUGAUCAACGAAACAGACCUUUGCUUUCUGAUUCGGGUCUCCACAAAUUACUUACUAAUGAUACUGUCUUCUCAGCACUCAAGGAUAGCGCUGCGAUGGGAUAUUUGGCUCCUGAGUACAGUCCUACUGGCCGGUUUACAGAGAAAAGUGAUAUUUAUGCAUUUGGGGUACUUUUGUUUCAAAUCCUUUCUGGGUUCGAAAAGUAACCAGCACAAUGCAAGCUACUGCUGACUUAGGAAAAACUCAGGACUUCAUGGAUAGAAAUCUCCAUGGAAAGUUCUCUGAACCUGAAGCCAUCAUCCCAGAUUCUGUGCAUAAUUGGACUUCUUUGUUUCCAAAUAUUUAUUAUGUUAUUCCUUGUCUCCACUGCCGAUUGUCUCUUUUUGGCUUUGUUCAAAGCAAUCACCGAUGAAAGAGUUUGGAGGCAAUUUUGUUUAGGUUUUCUUUUUCUUUUUCCCCAAUGCAACAGAUCGUGAGUGGUUAUGGUAUUUGAAUUAGACCAGUCGGUUAAUUUUGGUUCAAAGUUUUAGAGGGUAGAGAAAAUUUGUGUUAAACCAAAUCAAUUUGAAUUAUUAAAAAAUUAAAGUGUAAAUAAUAACAGGACACUUGGCGACAUAUUAGAGGUGGCAUUGGAUUGGCAUAGAAAAUAUGUCAGCGAGGAUCCCAAGUGAAUGGAAGGUGGGUAGACGCGACCUACAAUGACAUUUAUACUUUGUUUAACAUUCGGUUGAACUCAAACCUUGUCGUCCAUAUAAUACACGUGAACACGAGACAUUUGCCUCCAUAGUGGAACGGUGCGCCCUCAAUAAUGUCUUUACCAAAAUAGUGAAUAAUCACUUGCUGAUUGUCACGUGCCUUCCACUAAUACACGUAGUGGGUACCACACUGCAGACCGCAGGAUGAAUUGCCGAAUGGAAAGUUUUAGCAAUUAAAGUAUUAAACCCACCCCCGACCGACGUUUUCAUUUCUUCCACAGAAUUCCCCACAACAGCACAAAUCAAGUUAAUUAGCAAACUACCAUGGCAGCAGCUGUGACGACUACCAGCAGUGACCGAAUGGAGCAGCUGAAGGAAUUUGACGAGUCCAAAAUGGGAGUAAAGGGUCUAUCCGACUCGGGUAUCUCCACCAUCCCAAGUAUCUUUCUACAUCCCCCGGAAACCCUCUCGGACCUCAAAUCUUCUACAACAUCCUGCGGCACAGGAAUCCCUGUCGUCGAUUUAUCAAACCUUCAUUCUGAUUUCCACAGACCAAAGAUCGUAGAACAAAUCCGUGAAGCCGCAAGUAGCUGGGGUUUCUUCCAAGUAGUCAACCACGGGGUCCCUGUCUCAGUACUUGACGAGACAAUCGCUGCCAUUAAAGCAUUCCACGAGCAGCCCGGAGAAGAAAAAGCUAAGUAUUAUAAGCGAGAUCAAGAAGGCCAUGGCGUGAUGUACUCGAGCAACAACGACCUGUACCGUUCGCAAGCUGCAUGUUGGCAUGAUUCGCUACAGUUGUGGAUGUCUCCUCAGCCCCCGAAAGCGGAGGACAUACCGGAGGUCUGUAGGAGGCAGGUGGUGGAGUGGGACGUGCACGCAAAGAAGGUGGCUGAUACAGUGAUGGAGUUGUUGAGUUUAGGGUUGGGAUUGGAAGCCGGCAAGUUCAAGGAGUUGACAUUUUCGGAUGCUAGGGCGGUUGUAGGGAUUAUAUACCCUCCCUGUCCCCAGCCGGAUCUAACCAUGGGGAUUACCUCGCACACGGAUCCUGGUAUCAUCACUGUUUUGCUGCAGAAUCAGGUUCCUGGCUUGCAAGUGAAGCAUGGGGAUGCCUGGGUUGAUGUGAAGCCCUUGCCAGGAGGGCUGAUAAUUAACAUGGGAGAUUUUCUUCAGGUAAGAAAACUAGUACUGUACUACUUUUUUUUAUAAAGCAAAAAAAAAAAAAAAAAAAAAAAUUCACACAACGUUUUAUUUUAUUAUUUUUUUUUUUUUUGUGUUUUUGGGGCGGGAGAAACGUUUUGAAUUUCUAUAAGCAGAUUUAUGCAGGUCGCUUACUGAUAAACUAGGAAAGAAUAGAAGUGAUUAAACCCCACAAGUGUUAAACUUAUUUAGAAUUCAUAUUUUUCUGGGGAAUCAAGAAAUUCUUUCAAAUUAAUUGAUAAUAAGAAUUUAUGCACGGAAAGUCAGUAGUCAAACGUCCUGCUCGAUAUCCUAGUUAGUAUAUACUAUAUAGAGAUGAUACAGUUUAAAAGGUCACAUAGUAGACACGUCAGUCAUGCAUACUGGGAAAACAAAUGUAGUACUGGUUGAUGUCCAAAACUUAUCGCUUGAAAAUAUAUUAUUGUACGACAAGUUAAACAAAAAAAGAUAGCUGCAGGUGAUUGAUGGUACAACAAAUUAGCGCAUGUUCUGGAGUUAUUAAGCACUUGGGACAUAUAAAUGAUAGCGAUAUCCUUCCUACUCUACUCUUUUUCGGCACGAUUUUUACCAGAUAGUCUCAAAUGGCGAAUAUAGAAGCGUGCAACACCGAGUGUUGGCAAAUGCCUCCAACGAGCACCGCAUCUCCAUCGUUACAUUUUUCAACCUGACGAAAUGGAGAGAACUCGGCACAUAUGGACCCCUGCCGGAGUUGCUGUCGCCUGACAAACCAGCCUUGUAUCGAGAUUUCACCCUGCAACAGUUCUAUGACAACUUUUACAGCAAAGGAUUGGAUAGCAAAUCUCUGAUUGAAAGAAUUAAAAUUACCACCUGCAGCUAAUGCCUUGUAACCCAGUGGCGAAGGUCAAAAAAAAGGAUGUGGAGACGGCGCUUCAAUUUCAGGUGAUAUGCUGUCCGUCCAGUGCCAAAAGUCAGUCGUGUUUUAGUAAUAUAUUCAAAUACGCAGCAAUUUUCCUGUAAUGAUUUCAAAUUUCAAAGUCGUGGGAUCGUGCAGGAAAUCCUUUCGUUGUUAUAUGGAUAUGAAUGUAUGCGUGAAAUUGAGGUCAAGAAAUAAAGUAGUACUACUAUUAAUUUCGUAAAGCACUGUACGUGAAUGGGCUCGAUUUGCUUCUCUAAUUCUACAUUUUGUGAUAGAUUUUCUUGUAAUAAUCCAAGUUAAAAAAAUCCCAGUUGAUAAUUAGUUCCGUUCAGCAAUUGAACUUCUUGAAUGUCAGACAUUAUUAUCUCCUCAGUUUGGUGCCAAGUGCCAACCUUGUGGCGGCGGUAAAGGACACCAACCCGAAAUGUCCCGAAUGAAAAAGUCCUUUCAUUUAGAAUAAAUGUCUUUUCGGUCACAAUAACAUGAUGGAAAGAAAAACUUUCAUUCCAAUAUUUUCAGAGCGGGUGGAACAUUUUCAUCAAGGAUAAGCCAAAAUCUUUCGUUUCGGUGGGUUUUAGGUCGUCUUUUUCGAGGAUUUUUCUCCAUCAAGGAUUUGGUGGGUUAUAAAAGUCUAAAUGAUUUUGUGUUGCUUUCAUGGAUUUUUCCUCGUCUUCUUCCCAAACAUGAGAUUGUGGCUGGCCAAUUGUAUCUUUUCCCUUUUUCCCCCAUGACUGAUUUGUAGACCAUCAAAGUCGACUAUCUCUAUCUGCGAAUAAAUUUCACAUCGAAUCAACCACACGGACCCAACAAUCGGGAUACAAAGUUGGCAUGAAAAUCUUCAGAACAAGCCAUACAGCUCUUGAAUGUGGCACAAUCUCCAAGCUUUGUAUCAUAAAAGGCACAGAAACAUAGGACGCUUGCAAAAUCUUCAGCAGAAAAGCCAUCUACAAAAAUCACGGACAUCAAGCUCUCCGGAAAUCAAUCUCCGACGGUAGAUAGAUUAUAUAAUACAGUUGUUCACCAGAAAAGCCACUAAAAGCAAACUAUACAAUUUUCGAUACCACUUCAAAUGACCAGCAUUUUCAAUACCACAUUUAGUUGCAACGUGACAGCAAUUAGCACAACGAUAACAUUUUAAAGCAAAUGAACCAUCUACCACCCACGAAAAUCAACUGCAAGUGAAUCAACUGCAAGCUGACAAAGUUAAAAGAGUGGCAAUAAAUGUAGGGACCUACAGAGCCCCCCUUGCCACUCUAAUAGCAAACGGGGCAACAAUAUAAAAGUCCCAUCCUUAAAAGACUAAUUUCGAGUUUCUAAAAGCAUCAACAUCAACAAGCUAAAAAAGAAGGCAGAAGCAAGGGGAAGGCAGGGAACCCUCCCAGCAGGAAAAAGGGUACGUGGCUAGCUUCUACAUCCUGCUUUACAUGUUCUCGGAUGCUGCUUCCUCUGGAAUUCUUGGUUGAACUUCCAACACACCAAAUAUGAAAAUCAUUAUGGUUACAGUCAAUGAAACAAAGGACGAAAGGACAUGAUCCAGAGACCUAAGGAUUUAAUUUGCCACCCAUUUCCAGAUUAAUUUCUGCUUCGUGUAUAUUAUCAAAUUACAGAAUGCAAAACUGAAGAACCACUAGCUGAAAAUAGAUUGUUACUCCUUGAACCUGACAAAAAAUGAGACCUUGUGCAACAAUCCCUUGAUUAAUGCCUUUAACCAAGAAGACAAACAUUUCAUUCAUAAGAAAGCUCAAAGAUGACUUCAACGAAAAAAAUACAAUUUUAUCCAACUUACCACUUGAAUUUCUUCACAUGGAGUAAGCUACACUCUAACAGACACUAUCGAGUACGACAACAGACCACUAUCAGACAUCCUCUAUCUCAAAAUUCAGGCCACACUCACAUGCACAGGGUCUAGAGACAGCAGCAAGUGCAUAUAGCAAUAAAAGAAUGAGCCGAUCAGAAUUUGAUACAGCGAUUGGAGGGUGAUGCAGCUAGAACAGUUGCACGAUUCAACUCCAAUGGAUCCUUCCACUGUUGCAUGAAAUGGCAGCACAUAGACAGACUGCCAAGUGUUGUGGGAUGCUCGGACCAUUUAGUAGGUAUUUUCCACCCAGAAAGUGCUGCUGAUCAAAUAUUACUAACAAAAACAUUCAAAUAAUUACUGAUAUGUCAUGCACACAAGCACAUGAUGAUGCUAACUUGUACUUCCAAAAUUGUUAUCCAAGCACAUGUUAAUAACAGUAUGUGAUUUACUGAAGUUUAGCAUGCACCCGUAUAUAUAAAACUCAAGUAGGUAGCUUCUAGGUUCAACGACAAAUAAAAUUUCUUUUUCUGUGGGGUAUAUUGAUUGUUUAUAUUUCCACUUGAUGGAAAAGCAGGAAAGCUUUCCAUGCGAAAAAACCUCAAAGCUUGACAAAAAAUGCAACUAAGUUAUAGAUGCAAGUUCAGGAGUCACAAUCUGAAGAAGGCCCUUUGGAUUAUCCACAUGAACCCAGUGCCCUGAUUUGGAAAGAACAUGAUAAGAGACUUUCCCAUCAGCUUCAUCAACUCUUUUGGCAGCAAGCCUUUGAAUGCGCUGAAUGGUGUCUUGCGUCCAUCUGUCACUGUUCUCAGCCCGGACGAUUGCUAUCUCCAUCCCUUUGGGAGGUUCGUCCAACAGAGACCAAUAAUCUGUUUCCCUGAUGAAAUUUUAUUUAUUCAACAAUGAGUUCCACUUACAACUGGUAACUCUUUCUUCUUAUUUUCCCCCUCCCGGAUCGAUAAAUGUACAAAAAAACAUAUUUUCUUCUUACUUUUCAGAUUAUGAAAUUUUUGUUCCUAGAUUUUUCUUUGGCAGCGGUCAGACAGUGAGCAAUAAUUUUCAUCCUAUAAUCAUAACAAGCAGCAGAUUAGUGUACCUAUAAGAAUUAAACAUCUGGAUUGCACCUUCAAAAUUAAAUGCCCAUGUCUCUUGGUCUCCGGAUCUCUUCAGAUUGCUUCCAAUCCAUUCUGACAAUGCCUUUGAAAACCCACGCUUCAUCAUGUGAUCCACCAACCAUCUAAGAAGAUGAUUCCCGACAGAAUGGCACGUUAAGUAAGUAUAACCCGAAUAGAAGAGGGAAGACUAAGGCAAAAGAAUACUGAUGUGUGAGAGAUAAAGCACAGAACUUCACAGCCAUGCAGUUGCUUGUCUCAAAAAAAAUAAAUAAAUAAAUCUAUGUAGUUGUCGAAUUUGACCUGCUAUAGAAAUUGAAACUAAAAUUGUUGUACAUUUUUUUUAAAGGCUGUACCUGAUAGGUUUAUCGGUUCUAAUGAAGAAAAGUUCAAAAGAUCAGCUUUUCCAAGAAGCAUGCCAUAAAGCAACAAUAGAUUGCCUUUAACCAGGUAAAGCAGUAAUAGAGUACCUUUAACCAGGUUGAGUAAAACUGAAGACACUUAAAUUGUCAGCUAAUCACAAAAGAUACCACAGGAAAUAUUCACAUAACAUGAGCGCACAAUUCCUGUCUCAACAAUCUGAGACUUGGCUGGUAGUGCACAAUAAAGUAUGCAUAUAGGAAACAAAAAAAUCAUCAGAGGGGGAAAUCGACAUACUUUCGAGAUGGAAUUGAUGAAGGUAGACAUUGCAAGGUCUGCAAUACUUGCUCCACUUCUCCAUCACUUUCCUCAGGGUCUACUUUCCCAGGGACUGAGUCAAGUACCCAUAACUGCUCUGCAUCAGGAGUCUUAUGCAUGAGUGAACCAUAAAUUGUUACAGAUACGAGUAAAGUACAAGUACUCAAUUGACAAGUAUCUGAGGUGGCAAAAAUUUAAAUUCAAUAUGAACGCUUGCAUUGCAGGUAUACAAGAAUGAGUUGCAAAAACCUUUACAAUUGAUUUAAUGAGGUAUGGUAUCCUUAAAAGCAUCUUUGGGAGAGAAUUAAAGCUAGCUUGUUUGCAGUAGUCACGUUGUUCAUACACCUUUUACUCUUCAACACUAAAGAUUGAACUGUGCAGCAGAACAUUAAAAUUCGAAAAAUAACCAGCCAAGAUGAUACCAGAAGCUCGGCAGUACUCAUAAGUUAUCAGAAGUUACAAUAGAUUCCAGUCAAGGAAAUUUAAAAACCGGAGUUCUAUAAAAUUCGAAAAAGUAGGCAACUGAACGCACAACAAAUUGCCUAUCACUGGGACUGGUAAAAGGGACACUAUCAUUGGGCUAUCAAAACGUACAUCCUACUUAAUAACACAUGCCAGUUCAGGCUUUCAUGCACAAAAGGGACAACGAUAAUAGGAGCAAGUAUUUCAGUAAAAUGACAAGCAACUGUGGGUACAGUAACAGAGUGAAGAAAAAAGCAUGCCACAACUCCCAGAGUGAUUAACAACCAAAGACAGCAGACGAAUUAUCAAUGGAACAGGAUACUAGGAAAAUGACCUGCUUGGGCAAACAAGCAUGUUCCCCAUAAUCACCACGAGCACAACUCCGAGCGAAAUCCAAGGCCACCUUGCCACCCAAGGAGUGCCCUAUAACCACAUCAGGCCAAUCCCAUCCUUUUGACUUCACCAAAUCAGCCAAAUCUCGAGCCGCACUCCCUAUAGUAUGCGGUGGCGACAGUCCUGUUAUCUCGGCCGACUUCCCGUGAUUCCUCAAAUCCACCAUCACCAUCCUCCAUCCUAUCUCAAAUUCAAAAAACACACCAAAGACAAAAGGGGAAAAUAAUUAGCUCAGAUCACAUGGUUGUAAUGCAAUGUCCGAUAGACAUUUGUAAUGUACCUGAAAGAGAGGAAGCGAGGGAACGGGAGAAGGAGCGCCAGUUGCGACCGGAGCCUAAGAGGCCGUGAAGUAUGAAAGCUGUAUAAGUGUAGGGCUUGUCUGGGGAGGAUAAAACUUCUUCGAAAGCUAGGGUUUCGAGGGUCCUACUGGACUGGUGAAGGAUCGGAUUGGGGCACGGCAAGAUUAGGAACCGGUUCAGGAGUUUUGAACCGGGCUUGGUUACUAGAGAUAGAGUUCUAGACAUUGAUGGGGCUUAGAGCUGGUGGGGCGUUGUUGAAUAGGAAAAUUAAAGAAGAUGGGAACUAAGAAUGGAGACAGUAUCGUGGUGGAAGUUUGGAAGGGACGAGAAGAGAAGACGAGAGACCGAGACCCCAGAGGAUAUGGAAGAGGGGUACCGUCAAGACGAUGUCGUUUCAGUGCCCCAUCUCUGAAUAUCAAAGAGUACUAGUGCAAAAAUGUUGACAGCUGUGGGAUUUGAACCCACGCCCUUCCGGACCAGAGCCUAAAUCUGGCGCCUUAGACCACUCGGCCAAACUGUCUAUUUGUGUCUAUAUUCUAAAGAAAUUUUAGGAUAUUACAGUACACAGACGCCAUGGCUCAAAUCGCUCUAAUAUGCAGUUGCGAACCCUGUGAUGCGCACCAAAAGUGUAUCUAAAUAAUAAAACUGUGUUGAUUGCACUUUAUCAUUUUUAUUUCUUGGAUGAUAAAUUAUAGUACAUUUUUUUCAUCUUCAACUAGUUUGGAUAACGGCUUACUUUUCAUUUUAUUCCCAGUUUUUUUUUUUUUCUUUUUUCUGUGGCCAAAUGCUAAGCUUGGAAAAGACAGCUUCUGAAGAAGCAUAUACUUAUACGCCAGUCUCUUUUCUUCCUAGAAAUCAAAUUCCGAGGUGCAAAUGAAUACAACUAAAUUCUUUAUUUAAGCCUUUCCCCAAAUAUUUGCAAGCGAAUGGGCAUUAGACAGGGGAACUCCCACACAAAAUGUCAUGCAGAAGAACAGGACCGUCGCCUUUCUAAGAUAUACAGUAAUAAAUCGUGUAUUUUUUAACUUUUCAAAAUGGGACAAAUUAACCAACUCGAGCAUUGUAUAUUGAUGUGGCGUUUGUCCAGAAAGUAAUCAAUACGUCGGCAUUUUGAUCAACUUUCAAAUUCCCAUUUCCAGAGGACCUGUGGUUGAACUUCAUCUUCCAUUUCAACUUUUGAUAUCAUGCAAGUCCGUUUGCUCAGAGGACUGCCCUUAAUCGAAGGGAUCUAUUCGAGGGUCAUGUUCACUUGCCAUGGCCAUCCCAGUGCAAAGGCAUGUCGGGCACAUCACCUAUCAAAGAGACAAGGAGUCAGCAAAAAUGGCAGAUAGAUUUUAAGGAGCUGGAAAUCAACUGAAAGCAUGCAAUCAGCAUUCAGUGUAAAAAAAAAAAAAAAAAAAUUUCAACAUUCUGCGGUGCCAAGUCUAAUUUCCAACAGAAUAAGCAGCAUGAUCUGAUGCCAAAAAACACAAGAACAGAAUAAGCAGCAUGAUCUGAUGCCAAAAAACACAAGAUAGGUCAUAGUCUUUUUUAGCUAGGUAAAUUUCCCUUUGAGAGAGGUGUGUUGAAUAUUCACCAGAUGUUCACAAAUUAUGCAAUUAACAAGUCACAUACCUUUCCUGAGCCUGAGCAAUUUUGACACCUCUGAGUAGUUGGUCCAUGCAAUUGGCGGAUGGAAUCACUGCUAGUCGAGAUGGGUUCGAAUUUUAAGCACGUGCCACUAGCAGAACAACGGGCGCAUGCCAAGUAUCCUUUUGACAUUACAGUGCAGACAGAGAAGUAAUGGCUAACAACGAUCAGAUAUCGAAAAUAAAAUUAAUUGCAGAACAAUAUAACUGUAACAUAACAUAGCAUUCAAAUACAUUUUGCAAACCAAAGUAACAAAAAGCAAAUGAACAGUUGUAAUUCAAUUUGAGAUAUCUUAGCAUAUUUCAUUACACCAAAUUAGAAUGUUUUCAAUUGACAUUAACCUGGAAAUCUGAUUAGAAAAAGAAACCAUGGCUUCUCUAAGCCUUAGCGGUUAAUAAAGAGCUAUUUACGAAAAAGAAAAUAUUCAUUUAACAAGAUACCAGGUCUUGGGUGGAAGGGGGAGUUUUUGAAAGGCCAGAAAGAAGCCUUCACAAGUUUUUGUGCUUACCACUUCCAUGGCAAUACUUGCAUCUUUUCUUCUCUUGUUGCUCAACAUUGUUCACUUCUAUUAACAUCAAAGCAGAAAUAACCCCCACUGCGCCUCCUGAAAAGGAUGCCACUAUUGGAUCGACCUGACUGAAUAUACAAGGAGAAGAUUGUUCAAAAACAUCCACCAAAUGAACUGUAUAUGGCAGAGCAACUGCCAACCAAAGAAUGCUGCUAAAAUAAUGUACAGAGAUAUUAUUAAGAAACUUUCGAUUCCUGACAUAUAAUUUUUGUAUUAUUUAUACCUUAAUUGCAUAGGCAAAUGCAAAGUGUGGAUGAAAUCUUCAUAUGACGUGCCACCCAAACCUAAUUUCAGCUCCAACUGCCAUGUGAAACUGCUCCAUAAGUCGCAAAACAAUAAUGUAGUACUAUGCAAGUAGCACAGGUGAAUUCGUCGAAUCAUUCAGGUCUUAGAAUACAGUUGACUUCCACUUUUUUUAUAAUCUCUAUCCACUGUACAUGCAUGCAUCAACUUUUUGUUCAUAUUAUACCUUCCCAGCAGGAAAAUUGGUUGCAAUCUUACAUCCAAAACUAACAACUUCAUCUUAAGCUCUCUAAUAUUGUGAAUCUGUCCUGUUUCUGAGAUGGACAAGAACAAUAUGCAGCGUAAUUGUAGAACUACCUUCAAGAAAAUAGACAAUUGUACUUUCAAACUAAUUCUUACAAGCCAUCAUACACGAGCACAAUUAGUUUGAUCAGUCUGAUCAAAUACACCUGAAAUGGUGUAUAAAUCUAUAUUAGACAAUCAGACCUGUGCAGUUUUUAGAUUAUGUCUAACUUCAAGUAAAUCCAGUAGAAAGCACAUCAAGCAAGAGGUCAUUCUUAUUGCUUUCAGAUAUUAGACCUUUUUUUCAUAAGAACGAACCAAAAGCAAGACAGAUAAUACAAAUGGUAUAAGUUUUGCACAAUAGCAACAGCAUAUACAGUAGUUUGUGGAUGAGAAGGCUCACAGUUGGUGCAAUAAGCCCCCCAAAGACAAUUAUUCCAGAUACAAACGAAAAACUUGUUAGAUAGAGCUGCUUCAGCGUCUUUGGCGUCUACAUCAAAGGAAAAAGAUGUAUUCCUAAGUUAGUAUUGGACAGCAUGACAAAGAAGAGAAAAACAACAAUCUAGGACUCAAUCAAGAAGAAUGAUAUAGAACAAGAAAAUAGUAGACAAAAUCUCUUUAAAGUGCAUCUACGUCCAUCAUGACCUGGUUAUAGAGGCUAAUGCCAUAAUGCACAUGUCAAAUCAUGCAUUGAGCUACUUGUGACUAAAGUUGCAAUUGUGAAGAUAUAGAGAGGAUUAAUUACAAUAGCUCACAAAAAUGUAGAGUUAGUAGAAACGAGUACAUAUCUGUUUCUGUUAUACAGCUAAGGAUUAUCAGCAGGGAUUAUAUGCUUCAUCAAAUUUCAACCUAGACAUAUAUUGACUAAAGCUGAUAUUCCUUUCCCGACAUAAAAAGCUUCAAUCCUGUUUGCCUAAGCAUAAAUGCGUUGAGUUUCAUCCCUCAGGGAAUUCAUACUUCAAAAGCACAGAUAAAUUUCAGAGAAUCACCACAUGGGGGAGAAAAGGAAUUGAUGAGGGGAUAUCAGGCAUCUCAUUUUCCUGUUCACCCGUCCCAUCAGAAACUUUUAUGCUCUUUAUGUGUUGUUGUACUCUUAACCUCCGUACCUACAUGUAUGAGAAAAAGCUUAGCAGAUCAUUUCCUACAAACAUCGAAUGAUUAAAAUUUGCAAAUUGUACUAGAGAAUAUACUAUUCCCUUUCUGAAAGCAAGGAGAAAACAAACCUCCUCCAUGAGGAGAAAGAUUUUAUUGCGCCUGCUCCUAAUGUUCUCUUGUAUCUCCUGCAGCUGCAUUUGUACAAAAUCCUCAACUGUUUCUGGCCCUUCUAUAAUGCAGAAACUGCUGUGAAUAUGAAGAAAACAUUUUAAUAAUCUGAGAAAAGUUGAAUAUAUACAGAGCCAGCAAUAUUGACCAAUACAACCAGGAGGCAGUCUCACUCUUCUUUAAAAAUAAAGGUCUUUGCGAGACAAAACAGCAAUUAGCACCCGUCCCCAAAGAAACGUUAUUAUAUACGAAGAAAAGUUUAUCUAAAUCGGUAUGAAAUUACAGCUUCCAAAUCCUACAAUCCAAACAUGAAUAAAAAGACAUCCAUAAUAUUCAGAAAUCAUACCCUCACCCAAAGAAGCCCAUACGAAAAAUGGUAUAGAAAGUUGAGAAAUUGGAGACAUCAACCUUCGGAUAUUCUCCCCAGAAGGCAUAGAAUUGGGAUCAUCUGUAGAGGAACAUACUAUUCUUUGAGGUGUCGAAGACUUGUUGAGCAAAGCUCCGCCUUGGGGUCUUGCAACUCUGGAAGAGCUCAAGAAACUAAGGUUCUUGGAGAAAUUAACAUGUGAAGGAUGCAGUGAUGGCACCAAAGAGUAUAGACACGAAGAAGAACCCAUAAUCUUCCCCAAGCCACUCUACAAUGAUUUUCCUGAUUUCAUUUACAACAAACUAAUAAUGCCUGACACAGAAGAAGAUUGCGCAAGAGGAAAGGGGAUUAGGGAUGAAGGGUGCGGGGCUUUGUCCGUACGCAGAGGAGUGUGGGUAUGGCAUCUCAGAAGAAUCCAGAUGGAGACGACAGGAAUCCAUCCAGUAUGUUGCUACAGAAGCCGGCAAGUCAAACCUGUUUGACCACAUGAAUGGAGUUGCAAGUUACAAGCUUUUCAUUUUUGGUUAUGCACAGGUGGCCAGCCCAAAACUUUCAGGGUGGCUUCAGAUGGCAGAGUAAGGCCCGCUCCAGCCCCGCAUAGUACAUCUAUAAAUUUAUCCUGCGCCCUGCAUAGUUAGUGCAUCUGCAUCAUAUUUAUCUAUAAAUUUUAUACACAAUUCACGGGUAUAUUAUGUACACAAAUAAGUAAAAUAUGUACAAUAUGUAUAUGUGUACAUAGAUAAGUAAAUAUAUGUUCUUCAAUGCUUAUUAUAUAUGUUGCUUAUGAUAUAAGUUAUCCAUUUUUUUUCAAAUAGUUUGUAAUCUUAACGUAAUUUCCUCAUAUUGUGUUUCAAUAUCUUAUUUCAUUUGUUCACAUGAAAAUACAUACUUCCAAUAAAUGAAUUUUGUGAAACAUAAAGCCAAUGUAAGAUUGAUGGGAAUACAGGGUAGGGGUAAGGCUUAAAUGAGCCAGCAUGGGGACCAGAAUUAAAUUAUUUAAGCGUGGCCAGGGCCAGGGGAUGAGGAUUAAAUAUAAAUAUGAUGAAUGCCGUCAUCUUUUUAGAAUUAAUCUUUCUUACACUGGCUGACGGGGUUGGUUGAAUGGCACAUCAUCUGAAUUUAAAUUUAAACAUCAAAUUUUACUUAUUCGGCAUGUAUCUAAAUCUGCUAGUGUAUAUACUAUCAGUGUAUAAAAAAAUUUAUCCAUCUUUUUAUCUCUUUAAUAUAAUAAAGAGUUUGACGUUUUAAAAAAAAAAAACGUCAUUAUUUGUUAUUUUAAAAAUUAAUGAACACUACAUUACCUUCAAAGAAACUUUCUAAUUAAUUUUUUAUUCUGUCUUUUUUGUUAUUUACUUUCUUCUAAAAGACGCACCCACUAGUCUAAACAGGGCUUUGGCCAUCCAAAUGAUUAAUGAUGGCGACGAGGAUGGUCAAUACUACUUCAUUCCUGCUUUUACACCCAUAUACAAAAUAUUACGGAUAUUAUCUUGUUUGAAUCAAACACAAAGUAUUCACUCAAAACGAUGGGAGUUACUAUAUGUGCUCGGCAUUCUUAUUCUCUCUUUUGUUAGUCUAUUUCAAAUUUCCUCUUAGUAAAAUUUAUUUAUUAAUGAUGUACGAGCCUUAAAAUUUAAGGGCACCGAGAUAGCACCUUGGCAAAGACUAUUUCCCAACUGUUAAAAGUGGAAGGGACCUCAGACCAUUGCAUCUCCUCAUUCGGCUUUCAUAGUCAUUUACACCAUCCAAUCCGAGUGAGAACUUAUCGGCGGCCAUUAAUACCAUUUACGAAAAGAAAUAGACUAUUAGAAAUUGAUGAAGGAUGAUAAUACUGUCUAUCUCUUUGCAUCUCAUCUCCCUUCACUCCAGCCCCACAAGUCGGUUCUUGUGAAGCUAAGGAAGACAGAGGAUUAUGUCAACUAGCAUGUACACAUGAAGGUUAACGUAGAAUUGCAUUGACUAGAGUCUUUAACAUGAAAACAUAAAUCUGGAAAGCAAGUAUGAAGAUGGCGCAAUGUAACAAGGUACAUUCCUUCUACCAAUGCGGUAAUGCAUAGCUAUUUAGUCUGGCAUGUAGUAAUAUCCAUUCAGAGGUAAUUGUAAAUUUGUAAUCUAUCUAAGCAGCAUUAGUUAAAGUUUAUACUCUGGCAAUUUCCACUGAUUUUUGAAGAGCUGCUAGAAGGCUUCUCAUGAUUCUUGGCUCUCCAGGAGGUGACUGAGCUUUCAAGGGUCCAUUCCUUAUGGCCCGAAAAAUUGGACCUGAACUGUCAGUGGCUGGAAAAACUAAGCAAUCUAUGUAGACUAGUACUUCGGUUUUCCCGUCUCCAAUGGUAAUAAAGCCAAGUCUAGCUCCACCUGCAAUUUUGUCAACCUGCACAUAAAUUGCAUAAAUAAGAACUAAGCCAUUCAUAGACGGACGCCGCCUCCCAUAAAGUUUCACAAUCACCCUCCUGUUUCAAUAUGACCAAGGAUAUAUCAAAUAACUUUUAGGACAACAUUAGCCCAUUCAAAAUCAGUAUCCAAGAAUAACAGCAGUGUAGCCUGUUAUAUAUGUGCCAGCUACCUGUCUAAUGUUCACAACAUCAUAACACAAGAUUUUGCCCCAAUAGGUAAGGAAUUUCCCAUGAUCAUCAAGGUCAUGCACUUUACACUACCCUGCCCCUCUUGCCAUCCAAACCAUAACAUUUUUGCUGAAUUGCCAAUGCUUAAGAGUAGGUUACUAGCCUUGCCCAGCAAUACUUUUCCUCAUUUUUCCCGGACUGAAAUUUAUGAGAGCUGUCUUCUGCUGUGCAUCUCCUGAGCAUUGGCAGAGGUCAAGUUUGGCCUUUGAAGCUAGGAUAAAAGCCUUUUACGAACACCGCUCAGUUUUGACUCAGAUUAUACAAUUAAAGAAGGAUACAGCAGGACCAGGUAGUCAUGUAAAUCAAGAAUUUUGUUUUGCUGCUGGCAGCAACCUAGAUGGUACUCUUGAAAUAAGAGAGGGGAAGCCUAAAGGAUUCGCAUUUGGUACUAAAUGGACAAGUCAAGUGAAGAUAUAUUGCUUUGUUAGCAUAGUUUCAGUAUGAUUCACUUAAAACAGCAUGUAAGAAUGAUACAUUGACCAAAAAUCAAUAAGCAUGAACCUUAAGAGGUACUGGUAGUGGUAAAUUGGCACCUUGGCAGAGACUGUUCCCCCACUGUCAAGUCCAAGCACGAGAAACAAUUGGUCAAUAACAAGUUCAAGAUGCAUAAUAAUGAUAAAGAGGCAUUCAGGUCAACACUGCAGUGAAAGAAAAGUAUUAUGUAAUGACAUUAGAAUAAAAGAGAAAAGGUUCUGACAAAGAUAAUGAAGCAAAUAAGCAGGUACAACGGCAAACUUGUAUCUGUUUGACUUGUGAGGAUCGUUUCAGUGAUACAAUAAGACAAAUUUGUGCUCAGUUGCAACUUAGAUGAACCGAGAUGGUCUUGCUUAGUGGCCGAAAAGGAAAGUUUGAGCAGAAAAUGAGAACGCCUGGAACACAAGUUCAUUCCCCAUACCAUUUGUCAAUUUAUCUAUACCUUACAUACAAUUGGAAGGUAAAACACACCUAGCUUAGUGUUCGUGUGUUGGGAAUUUACUAAAAUACACUAAAAGCCCAGUGACGCCCAAUGAAAACUAAGCAUUCUAAGCUGCACUACUGUUGUCAAGCUUAUAGGUGUUUCUGUUCAUGACCAACAUAAUUAUUGUCCAAUUGCUGGAUCCUUUAUCACAACUCAAUGCAAAGCCUGGAUAAAUUUGAUCCCUAACGUUCCUACCAGCAUGGUAGUAUGUCUACAUCUUUAUCCAAUUUAUUGAUCUCAAUUGGAGAAAAAGUUUUAUUUGAUAAAUUCCAAGAUUUUGGCAUGCCUGCAUCAAUAACAUACAUGGGUACCAUCGAAACAAAACAACAAAUCAUAGUUAACUCUUAUUGGCGUUUCAUAGGGCUCAACUAGGCGAGGAUAGACCGCAAAAACACAAGUUUCGAACGGUAAGAGGUGUAAUCCAACUAUUCAAGUCAAUCACCUGGUUAUUAAUUAAAAGGUGUGACCAAUUUAUCAAAUUAACAAGCACUCAUCGUACUCAUCUUGUUGUCCGAGAUAAAGCCUAAAACAGCACGAAAAGGACUCCCCAUUAAGUUUAAGCAAGAAAAUCCAGUUUUGUAGCUUCAAGACGAUGCCUUUUACUCAGAAGGAGAUACCAAAUUUCAAGAAAAGCCACAACGUAGUGUGUCGAGACACUUAGGAAACUUACACAAAGUUAAAAAGAGUCCAAAAACAUCAAGACAUCCGUAUGCAUUUACCUGAAAAAGCAAGGUUUCGAAUUUUGCAAGGUCAGUAUCUAAUGGGAGCUUCAUGGUUCCUAACGACACGCCGUCCUCGUAAUCAUUGGCGGAUGAUAUGGCGUCGUUUCCCGUGGUUGCCUUCAAGGCCUUACGCAGAGUCCUUUUGCUUGAAAAUGAACGAGCGUGGAUUAAUAGAUUAUAUUUGUCCCGGGAGCCAAUUGCUGGUGGAGGACACAGAAUUGAUUGGCGGAACAGACAUUUUGUCGCGUGAAAAGCUUGCGUUAAGGGAAAGAGAUGUCUACCAGUUACACUUGCGUUACUAACCAUGGCUUCUGGGGAGGUGGGUUUGGGCCAGAGGAGAAUCAGGACUCAGUAGUCAGGAGACAGAUAGGAAGCGCUUACAUAUACCAUCGAAAAUACAAGGACUGGAAUUGGAUAGGAUGUGCUCCUCAGUGGUUUAUUUUUCUUACAUUCUAUUUGAUUCUAUUAUUGUUACCACUCCCAGGCAUGUUAAAUUUAUUAUCCUUUUCAAGUGAGAGAGCUAGAAUUCCACAUGUCUCAUUUACACUUUCUUCUCGAACCCCUCAUUUACACUUCCUUCAGGAACCCAUUUUUCCUGCAGGUAUGUUCAUUACUUGUUUGUUAGCAAGAGGAAUGUGUACAUUCAAUCUAGUGCUCUUUUUUUUUCCUUUUAAACUAUUUAUUUUUACAUCCUAUCCAAAUCUGUCAGUUAAAAGUCGAAAAUAAAUUGAACACCCAAGGUGAAUUGGAAACAACAGAAUUAGGACGCAUCCAUCUCCUCGGCAUUUACCAUUUAGCGUGUUUUGAUAGAAAUCAUGAAAUACUUCAGCCCUUUACAACACUGGAGUUUAGUUCAACGAAUGCCCCAAAACAUUACGCACACAUUAUACCACCCCAUAUCUGGGACAUUUACAUGGAUUCAAAAGCUAGUGCAUAGCAGGAGCAGGCCUUCAAAGGAUUUGCUUGGUGAAUCUUUGAGUUCCUCGCUAAAAUUAACCUUUUAUUCAUCACUGCGUUCUAUAUGUGCUCCACAACUCUAAUUUUUUCUGCCCUACUUCAGGAUCUGUACAUGUCACAAAAUGAAAUUAUCCUAUAAUUCUUACAACAAUAGAGAGGCAGAACACACUCAACAAAUAAUAAUCCAUCUCACACCAAGAGGUGCCUCAGUCAUCUUCGCAGUUGUCAUCAAUCUAGUGUGUGGUUAUCUUGGCGGCUCUUUCCCAGUUUCGCUAUGAGGAAGCACAAGCUUCAAGCUUUGGAAGAAGACUCCGCCAGGCUUCAGCAAUACCAUUUGCUAAAUGUGCUUGUCCCUUAGCAAAUUCAUGAAAAGCAAGCCCCAUAUCCAGUGUCUUUUGUUCUUGAAAUCGGACAAUUUCUUCAUUCAUUAGCUGGACGAUUGCCUCAAAUCUUCUUGUUGCUUCCUCACCAUCAGCCUUCAGCUGCAUACACAAACUCAUAAUAAGGGGAAAAACAGCAAUCAUAGUAAAAGCAAACAAUACAAUUCAAGGCCAACUAACCACGUCAUAUUCACGCUCAGCGUCAGCCAAUUUUUCUGAACGCGUUAGCCUAAGUUUGUUCCUGCAGAAGAAUACAAACACAUUUUCAUCAAUAAUAAAUUACUAGCAGUAAAUUCCAAUUAGUAGUUAAUUAUUAACAAGUUCUCUGGAUAAGUUUCUAUAGAUUUGCUAAUAUUGAUGUUCCCUUGUGCAUAACUUGACAAGACAAUAUUUUGAAAGAACAUUUCCUAAGACAGAGCAACAAGGAAGAAGGGCGGGUAUUGCAACAGCAUGGUCAAUGUAGCUCUGGCUUAAAUUUGGGUUCAUAGGAAUUAAACCUUUAAGUAACAUUUAAGUUCAUAAAAAAGACCUAAUACAGAUUAGUGCAGUUGUUUACAAAACAUGAUUUGCUAAGAACCAGAAAACAUGUUGUAAAAUUUCUUAAAGCAACAGUUGGUUAUCAACAUAAAAAAAAAAAAAAAAAUCCAAAUUUUGUUCUGCUUGCAUCACAAACACAAUUUCCAACCACCUUUUUAUUUCACAUGCAUCACAUCACCAAAAAAAGCUACAGUGUUAUUUCAGAUAUUUUCCCCAAGCAGAGUUGACAUCACUACCUACCAGCCUUGCAUUUUGUGCUGAACAUGAAAAAGUUGAUAUCAUUAUUCAAUUACCAAGCAUUAGCUCACUAAAUCCUGAGUUCAUGUACAAACUCACAAUCUUCUACAGGGCAUGAAGUUUCUGUUUUCAUAAUAAUGUUUCCAAAUAUAAGAUCCACAAACUAAUGCAAGUUGAAACUCACAGAUCAAUUUCCUUGAACUUUAUAGUUUCGGCCAAUUCACAUUGCUGCUUAAAUGCAUUUGCCCUCUCAGCUAUUGUAGCCUGUUAAGAAAGAAGGAUGGAAAGAGUGUCAGAUUAUAUUGGUGAAAAAAAAUGUGAUAAAAAAAUAGACAAAGCAAGAAUUGUGGAUCAAGACAAGGCAACAUCAUUCCACUAUUCUUUGCCACAAUUGUUGUAUGAUAUUUGGCAUUAUAAUUUACAUAGAGAGAAAAAACGGGGGUUUUCUUCCUUGAUUUAUAUUGCAAGAGCUACUCCCAAUGGCUAAAUAAAUUCACGUAUACGUUUCAAGAAAACAUAAUAUCAGACAGAAGUCUCCACCCUUCAAUAGGACACAUGAACAAUGCAUAAGGCUCCCAGACUAACCUUAAUUGACUGUACAGCACGAACAUAGUCUUUCAAAGAUUCUUCAAAGUUCAUCAACAGGUGGUGAGCCUGAAACUCACCAAAAAUAAAUAUACAAUCAGAUAAGUAAACUUCAGUUUUAAAGUAAAAAAAAAAAAAAGUUCAGUGUGAUAUUUUAUAUAAGUACAAAAACGCACCUCCCUCUGCAUCUUAACCGAGACUAUUUCUGCUUUGUCCCCAACCUCAGAAAAUACCUUACCGAGAGCAUUAUCUUCACAUGUACCAAGCAGCUUGACUGCCUUCCCAAACUCUGACAGAGAUUGCCCCAACUCUGAGGUAAAAUAUCAAGAAACUCAAUAUGUGUAACUACCUUCAUUCAAAUGCAGCAAAUGAGGAACCAAAUCAAUGUUAUACAAUAGCAUUCAGCUCUGGAAAAAGAAGAAUCUAAAACCACGAAAACCCAUAAAUGAGGUUCCACGAGAGAAAAUGGGGAAAAUCCAGUUUAAUAGAGAAAAACUGAAAAGGUGCUGAUGAAAAAAGGCAACAGUAUGAAACACGUUUCAUUGUGGAAAAUCGACUCUCUAAUCUCUCAGAAAGAAAUCUCUGCAGAUCAAGUAUUGGGAAAACAAAUACUUUACUUUGUUUUUGGGAGAUCAAGUUUUUGGGAAAUCUCUGCAGAUCAAGUUUUUGGGAGAACAAAUACUUUACUUUGUUUAAAAUGAUAACAUUUGCAGCAUAUACACCAGAAUAGCAUCCUACUACUGACACUAAAACAUAUAAUCGAGCAUUACAAGGAAUGAGUACCCCUAAUACCUCUAUGUCUUUUUACAAGACGAUAGGCAUGCUUCUGAGCUUCAGCUAAGUGAUCUUCAAGCUCAAAUAUAUAACGUUUUAGUUUCUCAUACUCAGGAGUCGAUUCUUCAACAGGUUUCUCCUUUCCAAGAACAACAUCACUCACCUUUGACUGUACAUCCUGCACAAUAUUGCAACUCUGUCAAUAUUAUAUCUCUGAAUACACACCUUUCAAGUUUCAAGGGAUAUUUCAAAACAUUCUGCCAGUAUGAAAUGGUAUUGAGGACCAACCAAAAUGCUUAUUGAGCUCCUUGUGAACGUGAUGGAACUCUAUGAUGUGGAACACAGUGACCAGGAAAGACCAACUCACUAAAAGAAACCAGCAAGGUAUCUCACUUUUCAGUAUAAGCAUCUCCUAACUUUUACCAACAGCUUAAAUUUGUGAAAGAAAGAAAUUGCAACAUUUUCAAAAUGUAGUUAUCUAGAGCUCUCCCUAGCAAACUGGUGUGGUAUUAAAGAUCACCUGAAUGCAUCUCGAUGGCUAAUUUUCAAAGGAUUAAUCAAAUUUAAGUCAAAAUUCCAUCUGAGAUAGAAUAGAGAGUUUGAAAUUUCAAUCCAAAUAUACGGUACCUUGAAAAUCUGCAUCAAAUCAGCUGGUUUCUUCUUGAAGAUACCAAUCUCUUGUGAUCUUGCUCUUUCCAUUGUCUACAGAACAGCCAGUGAAACGACACAAUGCAUAAUGUACCAAACAAAGGAAGAAAAAUUGAAAUGGCAUAGCAUAUAGAACGUUAAAAAGGUAUGAAGUAAAAUACAGAAGAAUCAAGACAAUGGAAACGAAAUAUGCACUUCAGAUGCAUUGUAAGAAUUGACAGGUGUGGAAAAAGUCCUUGAAAAGAGGUAAGUAGGCAAAGAAAAUGCUGCCAGACUGAAGUUGAACAUCAAUUCUUGAAAAUGAAACAUUUUUAAAGUACAACCUUAGAGAGGAAAAGGGUGCUCCCUUUAAAAUAAAUUUCCAAAUGCAAGAAAAGCUUUAUUCAAAAUGAAUUGCAGAACACCAAACCUUUUUUGUUAAAGCAUCAAAUUCAGCCAAACUACCUGUUCAUCUGCCUGCAAAAAGAUUCUCAGGUCCUCACUCUGCUGAAGAAUGUGAUGAGAAGCUAUCCGGUUGACAAAUAUAUCAAGUGCUUGACGCCGCAUUUCGAUGAACUCGGCAGUGAACCUAAAUUUUUCUGCCCAAGGAAGGACAAAAUUACAGUUACAGAAACACAGAAUUGUCCCAACUAAUCAGAUUCACUGUGUGACAAGGUCAAAGUGCCUUAGACACAUGCUAAACAAGACUUGCACUUCAUCAGGAUUUGUAGUAGUGAAAUGACAGAUGCAUAAAAUGCUAUUCAAUUCCUGGGUAUGAUGAAUUGAUGAAACUUUCAGGACAUGGAUGUGAAAAGAAUAUCAGUCAUUAAUGCCACUUUACAUUUAUUUUUUCCAGCCUAGAUUAAAGUUGAAAAAACAAUGGACAGUAAUGGCUAAGUAAUUCGAUAAAUGAAGACAAGGAAAAAGACAAAGAAUUAUUCUGAGAAUGAAAACCUAGCAUUACUAAUAUCAUCUCCCAUGAGAACCUGUUCAUGAAUGUUUGAUCGUCCCAAUUAGCAUAUUUCGGAACUAUAACAAUUGCAGGAACAUGGUCUUUACUUUUGACACAUUGCCACAUCAGUCACUUCCCCAAUUUGGCAACAGGAAAACCAUAAAUGGAUGACUAUCAUGCGGAACCACAGAUAAAACAAGGAGAAACGAAGGAAAAGUAUGUGCAUUAACUUAUUACCUACUGUGCUCUUCUCCGGAAGAGGAGGGAUAAAGAUUCCCUUGUACUUCUCAAAAAGACGAUCUCGCAACCACACAAAAUCACUAUAUCUACGAAUAACAAUCUUCUCUGGCCCUUGAUAAUCUGGCAAAUUUGUCUGCAAUAAUAAUUCCCAGAUAUAACUGACGCAGCCGAAUCAACUAUUCAGAUAAUUAAGAAGUAAGCAUCCUAUAAUAGAAACAUUCUAAAAACCUAACAAUACUAAUACCACUUUGACUUGCUUAAGGGGUGCAACAGAAAGUAAAGGCAAACCCUGACACUACAACAAUGUAAGCACCGGAAAAAUAUAUCUAACAUUUACCGCUUAUUUUUCACUACAGUUAUCAAGAAAGCAUCGCCAUCAACUGUAAAAGUCAUCACAGUAAGCUACUUUCCAAAAGAGCGAUCUGUAUCUAUGUAUGUGACUUGAUAAGAUAUUUAAUCAAUCACAGCAUACAAUAUUCGAGCAAAUGAAGAAUGAGGUGAAAUAUGCCAACCUUAGUGAUAACUUUGUAGGAGAUAUAAGCUUGAACGCCAUUGCCCAUCUUAGCUGGAUCAAUCACUGAUACUGAUAAAAACGGCUCUUGCGACGACGGGGAUCUAGGGCUCUGCGUUGACCCCGAUCCACUCCUUUGCAGCUGCUGCAGCGUAUUCAAUCAAUUCGAGUUAAAUCCGUCAUCAAUUAUGAAUCAGAAAAAUGUUUAUUACUGAGACAUGAUAUUGAAUUUAUACGCAUGCAAUAUAAAUAUAAACGCGUUCAACUAAGUUCAAUCACUACAAGGAUGGUGGCAUGUGUGUAAAUACCGUCGGGAUCAUGGUUGUUCUUGUAUUGGAGUCAGUGAAGAAGAGCGGCGGAGAUACAGAGAAGAGCGAUAGAAGAGGUUUGUCGGAUGAGAGGCGGAUAUGGAGUGUAGAGUGACGGAAGAGACUUGUUUGGAAGUUAAUUGUAUCGGCGGUGCUGGGGUAGUUGCUUCACCGUUCCGGCGAGUCCAGAGUGUAGUAAUGUGCCAAAGCUGGGGGUAUUAUUGGGGUGGGAUAAAAAAGGGGGGGUGACUGGUGAGGUAAAUUCGGCCAUUAACUGAUUCGCCAGCUUACGCAAUGGCGUCUGAGUUGGCAACUAACAAGUGGAGAACCCUCUUGUUUGUGGGCCCAAUACCCUCGAGUUGUUUGUUCUAGUCCAGAUAAUGGUCUAAGAUGUCUACUUUAAUAAUAACCUUGAACUUAGAGCACUUUGAGGAUUAGCAUGUGUAUCAUAAACUAGUACUACUAAACUGCUACUAGAUGCUAAGGUGUAAACAAGAUUGGUCGAGCCAACAUGAGGUAACAGAAAAAUUUAGGGUUCUUUUGCUUGGAUAAUGAUUAUCAUGCAGUGCCAGUUGGAGCCUAAACUUAUAUUAGAUCGAGUGUGUUUGGAUUGUAAGUUAUUUGAGAUAUUUUUACUGUAGCACUUUUUGUGAUGUGAUGUAUGUGAGAUAAAAAGAUAAUUGGAAAGAUAAAAAGGUGUAUUGGAAAUUGUAAUAGUGAUGUAAGAAAAUAUAUUUUGGUGAAUAACUUGCAAUCCAAACAUAUUUUCGAUUUUUUACUUGGUAGGUUGAAUUUAUAUUGUCAAGGCCUCUGCAUUUUAUUUGCACUAGUUAAGAGCCCAUCUAAUGUAUGUGAAUUUAAAAAUAUUAAAAAUGAAUUAUCUUUGUAUAUAUUUUUUUAUAUAAAUAACAUUUGUAUUAGUUUUUCUAAAGAACUUUGGUUUGUAUGGUUACAAUAAUUUAGUAGUUAUAAUUUUUGGAGUAGUUAUGGAUAGUUAUUACAAUACUUAGGUGGUUUUGAGUAGUUGUAUCAAUAGAACGUGAUUAGAUGAGUAAGGUUUUUUUUUUGGUAAAACUAUAAUUGAAAGUUCAAAAGAUUACAAUGAUUGUUUAUAUCAAUUGCCAAUACUCUAACUUUUUAUAUUGUGUAGAUUUGACUUGACUAGAUUGACCAAUAUUAAUUUGCAGUCACUAUUAUAGACGCAAAUCACGUUCAAAUAAGAAUUCUUUCCCUUUAAAGUGUUGCUGUGUUCUUUGCCACCCUCCCUCCUCCCAGAAGGCUCUUCCACUACCCAAUCCACCAUCGUUUUUCAUCCAAUUCACUACCGUUUUCGUGAAUGUAUUUAAUUCUUCUCUUAACUUCUCUUCUUGCUCUAUUAAUCAAAAGUAUCUUAUAUAUAAUAGUUUUGAAGUGACAACUAAACUAAAAAGGAAGUGAGACCGGUGGCAACUGCAAAAAUAGGUUGACUUUUUUCCAUUUUGGUUAUGUCUCGUUUAAUAUGAGAUCGAUUCCUAAUGAGAUCAAUUUGAUUGACUAGUGCCCUAUUUAAUUUUCUAUUUCUUGCCUAAUUAACAUCUUAGAUUUUUUAAGACAUGGCUUUUGCCUUAUGGUGCCAAAAGCAACUCUAUCAUAAAAUGUAAACUUUUCUAAUUAUCGGCAUAAUAAUUCACUUCAUAAUAUCUAAUCUGUAAUCAUUCUCUCUAAUUCAAAUAAUUAGCUUCAUUUUAUGUGUUGAAUUUUGUAUGGCUUUUAUCAUUGAAUACGUGGCCCGUAAUGUUAUCAAAUUUGAACAAAAAGGGGACAAUUGAUGAUGAAAAUUGGCUCCUAAUUUUUUCAUUUCGUACAAAAAAAUAAGUAUAUUAAUAAUUAGAAAGAUUCAAAAAAAAAAUCAAUACCUAUGAAAGUUUUGAAAGUUACAUAGGCAAUCAUUGAAACAAUAUAAAUAAGGUAUAUAUAUCUUAAAUUUUUAUGAAGCUAUUUUUUACCUAUUUCUUGUGUAUAUACUAAUGGUAAUUAUAGUUUCAAUUUUUAAGUUUUAACAAAAAUUAUAUUUGUUUGUCAAAAAUGAAAGUAAGAUGUGAUAGAUAAUUUUAAGUAUUUUUAUUUAACUAUUAUAACUAAUUUGCAUGUGGUUAUCAUUACUAGCAAUUUGCCAAAUUUUUUCAACAAUUCUUUUUUAUUGUCAAUAUUACAAAUAUUAUGGAUCAUAAUAUGUUUCCUUAAAAGUUAAGAGAUCAAUAUAUUAGGGAUCAUAUAUUUUAAAUUUUGAAAUACAUGAAACUAAAUUUGUUAUCUUGGUGACUACUUUAACUCGGUAUCUAAUAUUUGACAAUUGUCUCGAUAAGCCUACCUAACAAAUACAAUAAAAGUACAAAAUGGCAUCUAAAGUCUUGUAUACUACAAAUAUAAUCAAAUCUUAUUAGAUCUCCGUAGUGACCUAGGGUUCAGCACUCCCGAACUUUUAUCGGGAGUUCCACGUGUCUUUUAACCUCUUUAUCUUUUGGGAUGCACCAUUUACAACUUUGCAUAGGCCGUCUGAGUUGUACAUCUAGAACAUCAGUCACAUUUUCUUUCUUUACAAUCUAUAAAUGUCACCCAUACUCCAUUUAUUUAAGAUAAUGACCAACUCCACACUCUUAGGCACAAAAUGGCAUCUAAAAUCUUGUAUACUACAAAUAUAAUCAAAUAUUAUUAGAUCUAUGUAGUGACCCACGGUUUGGCACUUCCGAGCUCUUUGUCAGGGACACCAGGUAAUUUGACUAUCUAGUGUGGAGAUUGAGAGUUAGAGGAAUGAAUUAGAGAAAAGAGAAGAGAGGCAGAAGAGGGAAAGAGAGAAAACUGAAGAGAGAGGGAAAGAAUGGAAAUUGUUAUUUCUUCAAAAUGUCGUUGUUACAAUUAAUGGUGGUCCCCACCUUUAUAACAACCUGAUUCUGGUAGUUAAUCCUAACCGACUCAAUACUCACUACUAAACUACAUCGUUUUGAUUGCAAUUAAUCCAAGCCUGACAAUUCCCUCCCCAUAAAACAGACUUGUCCUCAAGUAUAGAAUUCAGGGAAUUGAUGUUCAACAAAAGACUUGUCCUCCCAAGAUGCCUCCUCAUAAUCCAAGUGAUUCCAUUUAAUCAGAAACUGAAUAACUGGCUUAGCAUCUCGCAAAAUAACCCUCCUUUUCAGAAUUACUUCUGGCUUUAAUGGACAUUGAUCCUGAAAGUCUAACUCUGGUAGGGUAGUGGAGCUGCCCUGCAUUGGUCUCAAUUUCUUCUUAAGCAAAAACACAUGGACACUGAAUGUAGUUUGGAGUCGGCUGGCAGCUUAAGUUUACAGGCUACUGCCCCCACCUUCUGCUCAAUCUGGAAUGGCUCGUAGUACUUAGCUGCUAAUUUGAGACAUUUUCUGAUAGCCACAGUCUGUUGUCUGUAGGGUUAGAGCUUUAGAAACACCCAAUCCCCCACAGAGAACUCCCUUUCAGAUAUGUGAUAAUCAGCAUACUGUUUCAUCCUUUGUUGAGCCUUGGUCAAGUUCUCCUCAAUGCAGUAUGAUAUCCUGAUCCUUUCCUGCACCAUGUUGGAAACUGCAGGAAUCAUGGAGUCUAAUACGGUCCCAUUGGUAAAUGUACUGGCUUGUAUCCAAACAAGGCUUCAAAAGGGGUCAUUCCCAGGCUUGAAUGGUAGGUGGAAUUGUACCACCACUCAGCCAGAGAUAACCACUUGCCCCACUGGGAAGGAAGCUCUCCAGUCAUACACCUCAGGUAGUUUUCCAAACAUUGGUUGAGUCUUUCAUUCUGACCAUCAGUCUGAGGAUGGUAAGAUGAAGAGUAAUGUAGCUCAGUCUCAACUAGCUUGAAGAGCUCUUUCCAGAACCUGUUGGUGAAGAUUUUGUCCCUAUCAGUGAUGAUAGACUCUGGUAGGCCAUGUAGCUUAUAGAUGUUGUCCAGAAAAGCUUGAGCAACCUCCUUUGCUGUAAAUGGAUGUGUCAAUUUGAUGAAAUGACCAAACUUGGUGAAUCUGUCAAUAACUACCAGUAUAGUAUCAUAGCCUUGUGACUUAGACAAUUUCUCGAUGAAAUUCAAUGUGAGAUCAUGCCUGCUUAGGUACAGAGAAUGGUUGCAGCAAUCUGGGGUAGAGAACAUUUUUAGACUUGUUUCUUUGACAGACAUCACACUUAUGUAUAAAGGACACCACUUCUUGCUUUAUGCUUGGUCAGUAGAAUAAGUUCCUAAUUUUCUGCCAGCAAUUCCUCUGGCCUGAGUGACCACCUAUUGCUGAAGCAUGUAAGGCCAGUAUAACUUGCUCCCUGAUGUUCCCUGCCUCUCCAACAUAGAUCCUACCCUGGAAUUUCAAUAUUCUAUCCACCAUAGUCACUGUGAGAGUUGGGAUCCAGCACUAGUUUAGCUAUAAUGUCUUGGCAAUGAGUGUCAUCCUCAUAACUUUUCUGCAACUCUGCAAUCCAGCCAGGUUUGACAGAGCUAAUAGCCAUACAAGAGCUCAGUGCAACUGUAGGUGUAACUUCAUGUAUCCUAGACAAUGCAUCAGCCACCUGGUUUUCUCUACCUUUUUUGUACUGUAUCUCAUAGUCCAACCCUAGAAGCUUAGUCAUCCAAUUAUGUUGAAGUGUAGUGUUUAAUUUUUGAUCCAAUAGAUACUUCAGAGACUGGUGGUCAGUUCUAAUGAUGAAAUGAUUCUCAACCAAGUAGUGCCUCCAUUUAGUAACUAGCAUUACUAGAGCAAGGAGUUCUUUUUCAUACACUGAUAAUCCCAAGUUCUUAGCUAAGAGUGCCUUGCUUAAGAAAGCAAUACGGUGCCCUUCUUGCAUCAGAAUUGCUCAUAUACCUCCUUCACUGGCAUCUGUCUCUACUAUUAAAGACUUAUUGAAAUCUAGCAACUGAAGAACAGGAGCUGAGCACAUCAGUUUCUUAAGUUGAUCAAAAGAAUUUUGUGCUUGCAUUUUCCAUUUGAAGCUGUCCUUUUUGAGCAAUUCAAUAAGUGGCUUGCAGACAAGCCCAUAAUGCUUUAUAAACCUUCUGUAAUGUACUGUAAGUCCCAAAAAGCCUCUCAAUUCCUUAACAGUUUGUGGUAUGGGCCAUUGCAUAAUGCUUUUGAUCUUAGAAUCAUCCAUAGUGAUCCCUUGUUCAGUAAUGGUAUGCCCCAGAUAGUCCACUCUGGUCUGAGCAAAGGCACACUUGAAUUUCUUUAUGUAUAGUUGAUUACUGCUCAGAAUGUCAAACACAAUCCUCAGAUGAUGCACAUGAGUCUUCACUGUAGAACUGUAUACAAGGAUGUCAUCAAAAAAUACCAGAACAAAUUUCCUCAAAUAAGGUUGAAAUAUAUGAUUCAUCAGUGAUUGGAAUGUGGCAGGAGCAUUUGUGAGUCCAAAAAGCAUGACUAGAAACUCAAAGUGCUCACAGUGAGUUUGAAAGGUUGUCUUGAAGGUAUCCUGACAUUUCAUUCUGAUCUGAUAAUAUCCAGCUGUGAGAUCCAACUUAAUCUUAAACACAGCACCUGUUAGUUCAUCCAGUAGCUCAUCCACAUUGGGUAUUGGGAAUCUGUCCUUGACAAUUAAUUCGUUUAACUUUCUGUAGUCCACACAAAAUCUCCAAGUACCUUCUUUUUUCUUGACUAGCAAAACAAGGGAGGCAAAAAGACUAUUGUUGCACUUGACUAUACCCUUCUGCAACAUCUCAGUAACCUGCUUCUCAAUUUCCUCCUUAUGGCAAUGGGGGUAUCUAUAAGGUUUCAAUUUGAAUGGCUUAGUUCCUGGUUUGAGGGGUAUUUCAUGAUCCACAUUUCUACUGGGAGGUAAGUCAUUUGGGGUCUGAAACAUAUCUUCAUAAUGUUGUAGUAGUUCAGCUACUUCUGAGGGUAUAGGGUCAGCUUCUCCUCUUUCAUCCUGUGCUUAGCUCAUUGCCAUACACAUCUGCUUCUUGUACUCUAUGAAUCUCCUUAAAUCCUUUCCCUUGAUUAGGUCCAUAUCACAAUCUUCUGCUCUCCCAUGCAACUGGAUCUCAUCUCCCUCAUGAUGUAAAGAUAUUCUGAGCUGAUGGAAAUCGAAUGUAAUUGGACUAAAGUGUGUUAUCCAAUUCACUCCCAAUUUUAUGUCCCAACCCCCAAGUUUCAUUACUUUGAGGCUGAAUCUGAAAUUAUGUUGGUUAAUCCUCCAGUGCACAUUAGGACAAAUAGCAUUACUAGUUACACACGUUCCAUUGCCCAUGAUAACAAAAAAUGGCUGAUCCACCCACUGAUACCCAAUAUCCAUGCCAAUAACCAACUCAUUGCUGAUGUAACUGUCUGAACUUCCAGUAUCCACCAGAAUUAGCACCUCCUCCCCAUCAAGGAUGCCCACAAAUGUAAUGAUUUUCCUUUUUAAUGUUUCAGAUAAUGCAUGUAAGGACAUCUCCAUUGCCUGCCCAGGAUUUCCUGUCUGUUCAUCCUGCUCACUCACUGCAUCUUCAAAGGCAGAUUCCUCUUCUUAUUCAGGAACAUGCAGUUUGCAUAGCUUACCUUGUACUGGUGGCCUAUUCCAUACUUUUUCCCACACUUGAAGCAUAGUCCAUUAGCCCUCCUAUACUGCAUUUCCUGUGUUGAAGGUUUCUUUGAGUCCUUGAAUUCCUUUUGAGAGUUUCUGAACUUGGAAUAUUUGAAAUUGCUACUGACAGGCACCUUAUAUGAGUGACUCCCAGUAGUUGGUGUAUUACUCAUUGUCAUUCCAAACUUAUGCUCCCCCAGAGCUCUGGUACUGUCCUUAGUAUUCCUACGUUGGAUCCUGAUUGACUGUUCCUGCCACUAUGAAAUCUCAAAUGUUUCUGUCAAGGUAGUAGAUUUAAGCAUCCUGACCAUAGGUUUGAUUUCUUCAUUUAAUCCACUUAUGAAACUGGAAACAAAAUAGUUUUCAUCCAGAUUUCGAUUCUUAGUCAUCAUCAGAGGUUUCAAUUCUUCAAAUUUUUCUUGAUAUUCUCUCACACUCCCUUCCUGUUGCAGCUUAUUAAACUCUUCUAUCAUAUCUCUGCAAGUACUAUCAUUGAAUCGCCUAUACAGUAAUUCACUAAAUUCUUCCCAGUCCAAAUUAGAUUUCUCAAUUUUUACCCCUUGAAACCACUUGUCAGCUCUACCUUCUAGAUACAUCUCAAUGACCUCAACUUUCUGUUCCUCAGGAACUUGAUAAUUCAAAAGGUAUUUAUUACAUUUGCGGAGCCAAUCCCUAGGAUUUUCACCAGAAAAUAAUUGUAAAUCAAUUUUUGGAGGAUUUGGAAUCUGAAACUUACUCCAGUCCUUCUUAAAAGGUCUUUUGAGCCUCAAUUUCAGCCUGUAGCCUUUGGUGAGCUGGAGGAGUAGGUAGAAUUGGUGUUAGAUCCACGUUUACUCUUCCAUCCUUUUCUGGAACCUUAUAUUUCCCCGUUGUCAUCUUCAUCAGUAGGUUGUUAAUCUUUUGUUCCAAAUUCUAUUAAGAUUCUGUUCCAUUCCAAUGACCAGGUCCUCCAUCCUCUUGUUGCUUUCUUCGAGCUCUAUUUUCAAUUCGCUCCUAAUUUGUUGUUGCUCCAAUUGAGCUGAAUGCAAGGAUCCUAGCAGUUCCUGGAGCUUGAACUCCUAUUUUUUCACUUAUUCCUCCAAUGUUUGAAGCCGAUUGCCUUCUGCCAUUGAAUUUCAAAGCGAGCUCCAAGGAUCGUUUGCUCUGGAUACCAAUUGUCAGGGACACUAGGUAAUUUGACUAUCUAGUGUGGAGAUUGAGAGUUAGAGGAAGGAAUUAAAGAAGAGAAAAGAGAGAAGAGAGACAGAAGAAGGAAAGAGAGAAAACUGAAGAGAGAGAAAGAAUGAAAAUUGUUAUUUCUUCAAAAUGUCGUUGUUACAAUUAAUUGUGGUCCCCACCUUUAUAACAACCUGAUUCUGGUAGUUAAUCCUAACCGACUCAAUACUCACUACUAAAUUACAUCGUUUUGAUUGCAAUUAAUCCAAGCCAGACACUCUUAUCGGGAGUUUCACGUAUCUUCUAACUUUUUUUAUCUUUUGGGAUGCACCAUUUACAACUUCGCAUAGGCUGUCAGAGUUAUACAUCUAGAACAUUAAUCAUCUUUUCUUUCUUUACAAUCUAUAAAUAUUGCCCAUACUCCACUUAUUUAAGAUAAUGAACAACUUUACACUCUCUUUAGAAUGUGAACAGUUGGUACUAACUUGAGUAUCAUCAACGAGACCCUAGUUUUGUAUUGACACUCUUUUUAAACCUUGAAUAACUUGAGUAUCAUAAUCAUCUUGGGGACGAGACCUUGAUUUUGUAUUGACAAUCUUUUUAAACCGUGAACAACUCGUACUAAUUUAAAUAUCACAGUUAUCUUGGUUUUGUAUUGACACUCUCUUUAAAUUGUGCUACCUUGAAUAUCAUAAUUAUCCCAGGAUAAGAUCUUGGUUUUGUACUUGAGUGUCACAAUCAUUCAAGGACAACAUCUUGGUUUUGUAUUGUUGUUCAAUACUUACAAGUGUUUAAGCAAUAGAUCGUAGCCCACCAACUUGUACCUAACCUAGACUACUCAAAAAUAUAUCUGAGAGCAUUUCUAACCCUUCAAUCUAUAGGUCUUAUUUUUCAUUUUUUUAGCAACAAGAAGAAAUCACCAUUUUCAUUGAGAAUUACGUCUAUCUAUUUUUAAAAAUUAAAAAAUCAAACAUUUACACAAAUUGAAAACUACCAUGUAUAAAUGUGGAUUAAAAUUUAAAGAAACUUGAUGUGUAUAUUUUUUUUGUGGUUUGAUUAAUAUUUAGGUUACAAAAAUUAUCAAGUUUUUAUAAACACAAGUUCAAUUUUUUUUAAGUUCUAGUUUUUUAAUCACUAAGUAAGAGAAUAUUAGGAUACGUUGGAUAAGUGUGUUUUUUAGCAUGUUUUUAAUUUUUCUCUCGCUGUCACCAAUAUUUCUAAUCAAAUCUAUGUUCAUCACUAUUAUCACCACUCUCAAUUCCUCCCACCAUUGCUUCAUUUACAACUGUUGCUUCUCGCCACCAUAAUUUUUUCACUUUUGUCAUCUUUUCCCUGCCUCUCAUGCAUUUUUCCUCCAUUCUUCAACCAUUUCUUCUGCUUUUUCCUCAUUUUCUCUUCCUUUUCUUUCUUUCCCUCGCCACUUCCCUCUUAUCUCUCUUUCUCCACCCAUCUUUCCUAUUCACUGUCUCUUUCUCUAAAUCCAGUUAGGCUAUCAGAUCUAGGGAGAGAGAAGGAGAAUAAAGGAAAAAAAGAGAUCAUAGGAGGAUAAUGAGAGAAAGAUGAGUAAAUAGAAGAAGGGAAGGGGAAAUGAGGAAGGAAAUGAGAGAGAAAGAAAUGAAGAAAUAGAGAGAGAGGUAACUAUGUGGAUGAAUUGAGAGAAGGGAAAAAGAAGACGAGAGAGUGUAACUGCUGAUAGUAGCAAGUGAGGAAAGGGAGGCAGUGGUAGUGAAAAAAAAAGGAAAGGAUGGGAAGCGGCGAAAAGGCAGUGAUAUGAUUAAGUUACUAUAAAUAUGAUUUAGUUAAUUUAGCUAGUUAAGUUAAAUUUAAAUAUGAUUUAUUAUAAGGGGAGGAGUAGAAAGGAUAGCACGAAAAGAAGAAAUGUAAGUGAGGUGUUGUGAGUUAAAGGCAUAUUACUUACAUUAAAUACACAUCCCUCUUGAUAUAUGUAUGACUAAUAAAACGUUAAUGUUAAAAUUUGCGGAAUUAAAAGGGGGGAAGUAUUAGCCAACCAAUAAGCGGUAUGGUAUCCGACAAUGCAAAAGUGAAACUUCACUCGAUGCUUCACCCUUAAUUUGGGACCAGGGACAGGAACGGUUGCAAGUGCUGAAGGUUAUGUGCAUUUUACAUACGAUGUAACUCUGUUUGUACAUGGUGUAACUUACUUUUAACAACGUGUAAUUUUAGAACAAAAUUUUAUGGAUCCUCCACAUAUUAUUAAAAAUGAGAUACAAGAUGGGAUCUAAAUCGUAUAAUUUUUUUGAUCAAAUCUUGACCGUGAGCUGCUCAAGGACGGUUCGCUUGAUGGCUGUCCCUGCCCCAAAUCCCUUAAUUUGCGACCACUUGCGAUCCUCGUACGAUUCUUCAUAUACGGCAUACUCCGAAAGGUAGAAAGAGACCUGACGCAUACCAUCCAUCCAUACUAGGAAAAGGACGUUCCUUUUUUCAAAUACGAACGAUUGACCCACCAAGAAGCUGAGGGAUAAAAAAUUGGGAUAAUUUCACAAACCUCCCCUAAGGUUUCAUGAAAUAUCACCUAGCUCCCUUGAACUUUUUAAAAUCUCACUUAACACCCUUAAAAUGAUAGUAGGGCCAUAUGUUAAUAUCAAAGGUGAUGAAUUGUCAAUAACACCCUCCUAUUUAAAUUUUCUAAACUUGUUUUUCUUUCUCUAAAUGUCAAUAAAAUAUAGGAUUUAAUAAAUGAAAUAUUUAGCGCAUUUGGAGAAAAAUAGCUGCAGAUUCUUUUUUCCUCUUUUUUUUUGUGUUUCAUAACUUUAUUUAUUUAUUUAGUUAUUUGUUCCUAUUCAUGUAGAGCGCAAGAGAAAUAAAAUAACUAAAACACCGAACUGCAGUUUUACAAAUUCUGAGUUUUUUAUAAUAAAAUUUUCAUAUUUCUUUCCCAGAAAAAAGUCGGUCUAUUUUGAGUAAAUUCUCUGUAUGCUAUUGAAGUUGAAUUUCAUCUAUUGCUGAGUUUUUUGGCUCAAAUGUAUGCUUUUUACAUGCUAAUUGCCUUCAAUGCUAUGGAGGGUUUUAUUUAUAGAAAUGGUUUAAAAAAAUAUUUGCUUUUAUUGUCUCUCUCUACUAUAGAAAUGACUAUUGGUUGUAACAUAAAAUCUUAUAAAUUUUCAUCUUCUCAUUUUUAAAAUGAUUCCAAUUUAGUACUUUUUUUCUUGGUUUGUCAAAUGUUCAUUUUUCUAUAGGCUACGGGUAGUAAAGGCACUAAAAUAAUCUCUCUCCUCAAAUAUGAAUUUUUUAAUAUGACAAUGUUACCAAAAUGUCAAUUCGAGGGGUGCUAAGUGAGAUUUUGAAAACCUCAAGGGAGCCAGGUGAUAUUUCAUGAAACCUAGGGGAGAUUUCUGAAAUUAUCCCUAGAAAAUUUAAACGAGGUGAAAGGGGUGGUGGGUCCCGCGUUUGGACUUCACACUGGCUCUCUUCCCUGUGAUAACUCAUAGAAAUUAUCACUCCCAUCAUUGCUCUCUGCGACCCCUCGCCACGUCAUUAAACCUUCCCAUCAUCCAAUCGCUCCUCCCUCCCACUCGGCUUGCAUGAUACGGAUACCAUCGUGUCCGUUCGAUUCCUAGUGGACCCCGCACCCUACAAAGAAAUAUGGGCCCCACAUAUUUCUAGGGGCAUUUAUUUUUUCCUAGGCCCGUUUUCAGGGGAUAAAAAAUAGAACUCCCGAAACCCAUCCCAACGCCAACAGAGUACUCGCGCGGUGCUGCAGUUUCACUACUACCGGAGGCAGCAGCAGCUGCAGCAGUAGGUAGGAAGAUAGCUGUCACACUCAAAUGGACCAAAACGGCACCGUUAAUUCCCGUCAUCGUCGAUCGCCCUCCUCUGACAGAUUUCUCGGCGUUUUCUCUCCGACCGAACGAAGCACCGCUCUCAGUGCUUCUGGAGACAACUCUGCCUCCGGCGACGAGCUUAACGAAGACGACGUCUUCUGGACUGGUGACUUUACUGAGCCUCGUGGCCGGUCCUCUUCCCCUUCCUCAGUCAUCAACAUGCGCCAGCCCUUCCGGAAGCCGGAGAAUUUCGGUAUACUUGCUGCCUUGUCGGAUGACCACCGUAACCCCAACCAAUCUUUGCUCUACAGGAAGGCCUCUCUCUCUCCCUCGACGUCGUCGUUUAACAAAACCCCACUUUCGGCUUCACCUACUCAACCGUCGCCGUUUUCACGUGCGAUUCCUUCUAUUCCGAAGCCGCAGCAGAACUACAGCACCUACUCGCAGUCGAUGCCAGCAAGGAAGUUCCAACAGUCGGCUCCGGUGAAUGUGCCGAUGAUGCCGAGAAAGGUGAGGAACGGCUUGCUGGCUGACGUGGAUGUUGAUGAUAAUGACGCCGACGAUGAGAUGCUCCCGCCGCACGAGAUCGUUGCACGAGGAUCGGCGGCUGGGUCUCCGAAGACCACGUUCUCGGUGCUUGAAGGCGUCGGGAGAACUCUCAAAGGCAGAGAUCUUCGUCAGGUUCGCAACGCCGUCUGGCGCCAAACAGGUUUUGUCGAUUGAAAAGCUACGAUAUCUGAUUUUGACACAAAUAUACCCGUAUAAAUUGGGGUUUUUCGGACUGAGAAGUUUGAAUUUUUGCUAGCUUUUCAGAGGCCUAAGAUACAAUUGCUGUUGUAGUCAGCCGGGGACUUCAAAGGUUCCCCAUUUUGGCGCAUCGGAGUUAUUAUAGUGCUGAGGAUGUUAAAUGUGUUAUCUAUAAGAUUUUGUUGCGGAAGAAAUUCUUGUACCAUUAUGGUACAACCUGGAUAACAGAUACUAGUCUUGGUAGAAUUAAGAAGGAAGAACUUCUUUUUUCUGAAUUUCAAUCAUCUUCAAUACUUGAGGGACUAAUAAUAACAAUCGACCAUCCUCAAUAGUUAUCCUACUAGUUAUAAGGUUUGAAUGCUCAAAAUGAAGAAAUGAAAAUGAAGGAUAAUUGUUAGUUGUAAUAGUGGCUUUUAAGUUAUGGUAGGCUAAGUAUAUAAGCAGGUUGCUGCAGAUUAACUAGUUUUGCAAGUUAUAGGUACUUUAAAGUUAAAAAUCAAGGUCCACCUUUUCAAUACAUGGAUGCCGUAAGCAUUUGUACUCUGGUAGAGAUGGAGGACGCAGAGAAGACUGCCUUCUAUUAUAAAUUUGAGUACAUUUCAUGUAAUUUCCAAUGUGUGACUUUGUGAUCAAUCCACUUUGGUUUGGUAGGUUACCAUCACACACUCAAUUCCGAGUGUGGAUAUACUCUAAUCGAGUUAAACUUGGAUUACCUGGUAGUUUUCUAAAAUGUGUUAAUUAGUUGUGUAAUUUGAAAUAGGAUGGCCUGUUAGUUACUGUAUUGUCUUUUAGUCUUUCUGUGUUGCUUAUUUAAUAGUAUAGAAGGGUAUUGAUUGUCAAGAAAAAGAAAUACAACUACUUAGCACCUUGAUAUCAUUUUUGAUUUCAAAUAAUACUCUAUCCAAACAAACAUGCUUCCCGUCCAUGUUGUAACUGUAUUUAAUGGAAGUCCAAUGCAUUAACAUCAAUUAAUGUCAAAUGUUGUCUCAGGUAGAGGCCUGACAGGUAUUCAGCUGGUUCCUUUGCAUGCUCCAACUUUUGUACUAGUUCAUUGGAGAACUUGAAUAGAUUUUGUUCAGAUAUUGUUACUUUUUCCUGUUGGUAAAUUUUAGUAAUACAAGUGGGAGAUAGUCACUGUACAUUUUAUUCUACAUUUUAGACUGCAAAGUGUGUCCAUUUAGGAUAUUAGUGGUGCAAUGCUGAGGAAUGACAAACUUGUGCUGGACAAGAUUAGAGAAAGAAUAAUAAGUAGGUAAUGACAUUUUUCUUGGUGGUUGUGUAUUGAUGUGACCUAGAAUGGAAACUCAAAGGAAAUGCUGGUAGUCAACUCUUACAGGGAUCUUCAAAUUACUCUGAUUUCACUAAAUGUACUGUCGGGGAUAUUCCAGAUGCCGCUGUGUUGUGGAUACAUAUUAGUUGUAAGAGAACAAGAUUAUUUUUUUCUGAAAGUAGCAGGCCUGAGCUAUGCUUGCUAAUUAUGCUGUAGCUGGAAGGAGUACAAUAGUUUCUCUUCUGAUAAUUAUGUUUGCAAAUUUCACAAAAUGUACAAUAACUUUUAUUUGAUUUGUGUGCUUCUGAUAUUUUAGAUUGGACCAAAAGAGAGAGCAUUGCAUUUACCUUCUCUUUUUAGUUAACAUUAAGAAGCUCUUUGCUUUGCACUUUAUCAAACUCGUGAACUGGCUGUUCACACCACCACCAACGCAGUUGAUCUAACUUUCUUUAAGAUCAAUAGCCAUUAGCAUGGUUUGCACUUAACCCGCACAUUCGGUUAUGCUAUCGGCAUUGAUCAUUUCUUUGCGCAACUGCAUAUCCACCUUGUGACUAGUUAGAAACUUGCAGUUCACGUCUUUAGUCGGCUAGUUAUGAUUGAUAUUGGUUACGGCUUGGCAUAACCAUGGCGUACUGAAAUUUGAAAAAGUAACAGUUCUUACUUGGUCAGAAGUCACAUAAGUGAUGCCAUCAGCACUGUGUUUUGUUUAACUGUCAACGGGAUUGGCUUUGGUGAUAAAAGUUAUAUACCUGGUUUGAUGCUUCUUCUAGUCACCUAUACUUGAAGCUUAAUGCAUCCUGCACGAUUUUGUCAAAUAUGGUCCCAUUGAAAGAUCUGAAUAGUAUUUGAACCAAAAUUUUUUGCAGUUUGCCUGCCUUGACCACUUACAACUUAAAUGUGGAUAUUAUACCUGGUGUUAGUAAUCUUGUAGUCAUAUGGACUUGAAGAUCAAUGCAUCAUGCCAAACUCGGGUCACAUUUAGAAAUUUGAAUGGUAUUUGGAUUAGAAUUCUUCACAGUUACUCGAUUUUGUCUAAUCACAAUGUAUAGCUGUUAUAGUUUCAUGAAAGUAACUGGAAAUCAUGGUGUUCUAAUCAUGAUGAUUUAUUUAGUGAGAAAUGCUCUUACUCCAUGUGCAAUUGAUUGAAUGGAUUUUCAACGGUUACAAACUAAGGCUCGUGUUCUAGUUGUGUAGAGUCAAGACACUUCAUUCAACACUACUGUAUAUUACUAAUAGUAAAUAGUAUCGUGUUCAUGAUUAGAGAGACGAAAACUUGUUUGUACAAUCUGCACAAAGAAUCUAGAUCUAAAUCACCUUGAAACUAUUCAUGAAAACAAUAUAUGAAAUUCUAUAACUUUUACUGUUUGAAGGAACUUUUGCGAUGAGGCAAAUUCUAGCAGUUCAUUGGACCUAAUCUAAAGCAUUAUACGACCUAUUUACCAAGGCAUAGCAAGUAGGUUUCACAUUAUGAAAAAUCUAAAAUCUGAAUACUCUCUUCAUUUUGUAAAGGACUCGUAGUUAUUUGCAACUUUGCUUCGUUCAAAAUUUAAACUUGGACUUGAGUAGCUCAAGCUAUUUAAAUUCCUUGUGAUCUUACAUGAGAAGUCUAUUUUAAUCUAAUCUAUUUAAGGUGAAUGUCUAUUUUAUCAAUAUGUUUAAAACAUAAAUCUGUACUACUUGAGAACUCAAUUAAACUCGAAUUAUAGCGUGUUAAAACCGCCUGUUUAAGUACCUAUUAACGCCUCUAGUAUGUUAGCUGUAGUCAUGCUCCCACAUAAGGAUCUCCUUUACGUUAGAGCUUGAGGAAUAAUUAGAAAUGUGAGAAGCCUUGCUGAUUCUUGUUAUACUUUAGCGAAAUAAUUAAAAUAGAGGUAAGAAUAGUCGAUUCUCCAUUUCUUUAUCCAUGUUAGUAUAUUUUUUAAAUAAAAAAUUCAUAAUUCAUUCUCACAAAUCUGUACUAAUGGCACAAGAUGCAUCAAAUCAAAUUAGCAUGUGACAAAAAUAACAGAUAUAUUAGAUCUGAAAAAUUUUUAAAAAAAAAAUUAAAACCUUGUACAGAACAAAAUAGGAGAAAUAAAAGUCUACCUAUGAAAUCUUAGGAGAGAGAAUACUCUAAUUAAAAAAAACUUUGGACAGGCUUUAUUUAAACAAUACAAGAAAAUUAGAAAUUCGAGGAAGGGAGACCAUGGUCGAUUGAAAAAAUUUGUCUACAAGAGACAAAGAGCUUAUGAAGAUUACUAAUAAUGCUUAGUAUAGUGUGGAAUGAAAAAAGAUUUCGAUCUUUAACCAUGUCAUGUUUGGGAGACAAGGUAACUUUUUGCAUUCAUGAUCAACGCUACUGCUAUUUCUUCAUCCGAGUUAUGGGUUGGGGAACAAAGAACUUUGCUUUAAUGAUAAACGGUUGGGUAUUUAGCUCGGUUUUGUGCCUACACCUAAUUGUUCUUCACAUAAAUCUAUUCAUCGACAAUACAGAAUAUCAAGAUUCAGGCAAGACUAGGAACAAAUGCCCUUUCUUAUUUCUGAAUUGAUUUCGAUCAAAUUGGAGCACCUUUAUGCUUUUGAUCAGAAAGACGAGCGUCGGACAAAACGAGUCAGAUUUCCAUAUCCAGCAAACAAAAAGCGUGACAAGUCAGAAUAUCAAUAAGCGUUAAGUUGUGGAAGUUCACAGGGGGAAAGAAUCCCCUCACCGUCCAUGAUCAUUUUCCUCAUCCUUGCCACUAAAGGAUGCAACUGCCCGCAAAUGUCCAACAUAUCAGAUAAACUUUAAUUUUCCCCCAUAGAAACGCGCAAAUGCAACAAACAAAAGAAAAAAUUCAAGACCAAGAACAAUUUGAGGCCAGGGCAAACGCAAGUCAGGAUAUCAAUAAGCCUGAAAGCAGAGCUCAUGGAGGUAUUCACCUCUCGCACAUCUAAUUUUGUCUUCAUCCUCGCAAUGCCAUCCCGAAUCAAAAUCAAUCAAAUGAAAAAUUACAAGCACAAGAAACAGUAGCCCCUGUACUAAACAAUUAUUGAAUGCCCAAGGUAGUAAUUCCCCCAUAUUUGAUUCUGUUACAAUGAUAAAACUAAAAUCCAGAUGAAAAGAAAUGUACCCCACUUCACCGCGAGACAUUCACCAAUCAACAAUUUUGACCCUGCCAAACCCGAUGUCAGAACCCAAACAGAAAGUCAUCUGCCGGAAUUCCAACAAUUAGGAAAAAGCGGGCAGCCAAAAAAAAAAGUUAUGCCUCGACAAAUAAAAGAGAAGAGCGGGAUAAAACAGGACUGAAUCCUCAAUAGGAAAACCCUAAAGAGAAAGCCCUAGGCAUAUACGACACGCCCCAAAAAACAGGGUCUGUAGUAUAUAAUCGUUAAUCUAGCGCAGCUAUGACUCGAAACGCUUCCAUUGCUGAAAGGUGGAAGGCGAUCUUAAGGGCUGCGCCUGGGCAUAAUAUUUUUGAAUUGCUAUCAAACAUUCAAACGUCCAACUGAUUGAUAAUUGAAAGCACCAAGAGAGAAAAAGAUUGAAGCGAGAAUGAUUUCAAUUUUUCCCACUCAAAUCGAAUUGGUUCGUCAAACCCUAGCCUGCGGCCGUUGAGAUGUGGGGGAGCGGAGCAAGCCAGAGUUAUUUAUACUGGUACUUUUUAUCUUCCUCUUCUACGGGCCUGUGUCCCCUCGGAUUGCCGAGCCCAUUCGGCCAGAAAUUGCUUCCAUCAAUAAGGUUUAAAACACAAACCCUUGAAGUUGGCACACCGACUUGCAUGGACAACCCGGAUUGCAUUGCAUGCCUCCACACACUGGAAGAUCCAGCCCAAAGCCGCAAGUGAUAGAGCCCACCAAAAUUUAGACAACAGGUUACUCAAACACGUUCAGCAUCUCUAUAGACCUAGGCUUGGCUUGGAUUUUCCUCCCGUCUCCC
rnacentral:lncRNA from 1 species